rnacentral:lncRNA from 1 species
AUCCUGCGAUGAUAUUCUUGUUUAAUGCUAUGCAAGUCAAGCUUGUAAUUGUUUGCCUCAGUAACUGGAGGAACUCAUCAUCUUUAUCAGCCUUCAAAUCCUUGUUAAUGGCAUUGCCAAACUCAUUGUUGUAGUGAUUCAAGGUUGCAUCAGCUGUGCUUUACUCCUGGUAGAGAGGAUCCUGAUGAGCUCCACAUCAUCGUAGGCUUUGUCUGAGAUUUUCUCAUUAAGUAUCUUAGCCUCUUUCUUUGCCAAGGGCAUGCUGAUCUCAUCUCCCUCGUAUCGCUAAGUGCUCAAAAGAGGAACCAAAAGCUAUGACAGAGUCAACAAUCCGAAAGCAAGAAAAAAGAAAAUCUAGGCAGCAAUGUAGUUGAAGAUGUUUGAACAAAUCACUUCCAAUUCAAUACAAGAAAUUGGAUACCAAUAUAAGAUAAAGAAGAUACAGUUUCAACUAGCCAACUUGACAUUUGAGAGCCCAAUCAGAUUAAGAAUGAGUUUGGAGGUUGAAGGUUUGUACCUUGAGCAAGUCUCCAGAUGUAUGGUAUGCAACAUCUUCUUCAAGGGAUUUCUUGUAACGCACAUGAUACGCCUGCUUUACCAGCAACAGAUCAUGAGAAGACCUAGAAGUAGCUAUUUCCAAGAGCAAUUUAUUGCUUGAAGUGAACCUCUUUGUAGCUUCAUUAGCUAAAAAUGCAUCAGGCUCAGCAGGAACCUCCUUGAGCAAGUCUCCAGAUGUAUGGUAUGCAACAUCUUCUUCAGGGGAUUUCUUGUAAUGCACAUGAUACGCCUGCUUUACCAGCAACAGAUCAUGAGAAGACCUAGAAGUAGCUAUUUCCAAGAGCAAUUUAUUGCUUGAAGUGAACCUCUUCGUAGCUUCAUUAGCUAAAAAUGCAUCACGCUCAGCAGGGACCAGUGUCCACAGCAGCACAGCCCUCUGGUUAUGCAGCAAAAUAGGAAAUUCGAGCAGUAAACCUUUGAAAACAAAAUUCAAAGUAAAAACAAACCAGUAUUCAACUGAAAGAUUUAAUGCAUCUAAAUCUGACCUCCAAAACACUUGAGAGCUCUUUGUCCUGUGACUUAAGAAGCUCUUCCCCAUAAAUUUCUGCAUGUCUGCUGAAUUAAUUUUCUCUGAGCUGCAUCCUGUGAGUCAGUAUCGAUAUGAUCAACGCCUUAUUUGUCACCCAUCCUGCACACAAAUUACAAAAAUAAAGUUGAUAAUACAGAAUAUAACCAUAAAAGUGCCUUGAUAAUGCAACAAAUCUUCAACCUCUAUCCCUAAUAUGAGAAGUUUUGGUUAAAUGCCUCAAUGUGCAGCUAGAUGCCAAGUAUUCAAAUUGCUCAAUGACAUCAAGCAUUGGUUUUCUUCUUCAUCAUAUGUUCUCCCAACUCCGUUUUCAUUGAUGACCCCUUUCAUGUAAAUGGAAUUUUGUGCAAAUUCCAUAUAAAAGAAUUGGACCUAACGAAAAGCUUAGGAUGGAUGUCAAUGAAUCAGAUAAGGAUUUCAAGUACCAGGUCUUGUCUCUUUUAUAUUAGCAAUAAAUUCCAGAGCAAGGAACUAGUCAAGAUUAAAGUAGUUUACUUAAGCACCAAGGCCUUGUAAUUGCUCAUAAUGAUUGGAGUAAAUAAACAAGAAUAUUAGUUGAAGUAUUUGUUAAUUUUUGUUAGUCAAUAGUGAAACUCAAACUGACACAAUAGGAUAAUUUUAAAAAAAAGACAUAGAUCUAAUACUCUGAUCCAACAAAAAUGAUCCCAAGAAAUUCAAACAAUAAUCAAAGAGAAGGGAACAAAUACUUACAAAAAAAACCCAGAAAACAGAUACAUACAAAGUAAGAGAACAUGAAAGCAGAUCAAACUUUAGAUGAUCAAACAUAUCAGAUUAUUAUUAUUAUUAUUAUUAUUAUUUUGAAUAGAAACAUUGUAUUGAUAAUCAAGAGGAAAAAUCCUCGAUCAAACAAGAAGACCAAAAAAUAAAGAAUCUGACCUACUAAGAUUGAAAAAAAAAACUGUAUAAAAACACGAAAAACACAAAACUUCAGUAAAAUCAUCUUACGACUGCCAUCAUGUCUCUCAUGAUGAUAAAGUAGUGAUAGUCCUUGAACUGCCCCGAAAACCGAAGCCCAAAGGGAUGCCCAAAAUUUAAUUCUGUCCCAUAAUUCCUCAACCCUUACUCCUAUAUGACCCUGAAAAAUUCUUCGAUUUCGCUCCAUCUAGAUAUUCCAGAAAAUAGCAUGAACUAGACAAUCACGAAGGAUUCCAGCUCUCUUCCCCUUCCCCGAAAUCCUCGGAUUGAUACUAAGGAGCUCAAAACACCCUUUAGGAAUCACCCACUCCGCUCCGAGAGCACCCAACAUCCUCCACCAUAAUUUUAGGGAAUACGAACAAUGAAUGAACAACUGAUCAAUGUUUUCUGCAUUCUCUUUGCAAAGAACACACCAAGAGGGGGAUAAACACAUCUUUGGUUGCCUCCUUUGAAUGCAAUCGCAAGUAUUAAUCCUGCCAUUUGCUGCCAGCCACACGAAAAAUUGAAUUUUCGGCGGAGUCUUUGCCUUCCAGAUUGAACUGAAAGGGGGGAAGACAUCCCUAGUGGUAGAGAGAAGAAAAGACCUGAAAGACUUGCAGGAAAAAGAACCCUGCUCCUCAAUCUCCCAAGAUCUCCGAUCCGAUCUAGAACCGUAUAAUCUCACCUUCCCCAAUAUAUCCAAAAGUAUUACCACUUCUGCUAUUUCAGCCUCGGACAAAUUCCUUCUGAAAUCAAAAUCCCAAUUGAGAGGCAUCUCAUGAUUGUUAGCAAAACGGGCUAUACUUUGAUUUUUUCUCCUAGACAAGGAAGAGAGUCUAGGAAACAGAUCUUUUAGAAUCCCUUCUUUCAGCCAAAGAUCCUCUCCCCAUUUCCAACAGAAAAUCUGCAGCAUUGAAGAAGAGGAUUAUACCCUUUCGAAAUUUCUAGCCAAGGAUUCCUGCAAGACACCUUAACUAUCUGUUUAGUAUCCCACCCAUUUGAGUCUAUUCCGUACUUGCUCUUAAUGAUCCUAUGCCAUAGCGAAUUGGUUUCAAGUGGAAAUCUCCACAACCAUUUAGCUCUGAGGGCUUCAUUUCUUUCUCUUAAAGAGCCAAUUCCAAGACCACCUUCCUCUUUCGAUUUAGUCACCCUUUCCCACCUGACCAAGUGACAUUUCUUCCCUUCUUCUAGACCCUCCCAUAAAAAGUUACGCAUAAGUUGUUCUACUUUGGCGGCCACUCCUGUAGGCAUCUUAAACAGUGACAUAUAGUAAGAAGGAAUGCUGCUCAAAACCACUUGGAUUAGCGUUAACCUUCCACCUUUGGAUAAGCAAGCGCUCUUCCAUUUUUGAAGUCUUUUCUCCACCUUAUCCUUUACUGGAUUCCAGAAAUUAAGAGCUCUUGGGUUUCCCCCGAGAGGAAGACCCAAGUAAACCAUAGGCCAGCAACCAACCUCGCAUCCCCAACUGCCCGCCAUGUUAUUCAGAGCUUCAAUACUAAAAUUGAUCCCCAGAAUGCAACUUUUAGCCUUAUUAAUCUUCAUCCCAGACACAUCACAGAACAACUUCAACAGCUGCAACAGAUUUAACCAAUACUCUUCCUUGCCAUCCAAAAGGAAAAUGGUAUCAUCUGCAAAUUGGAGGUGAGAAACUUCCACUUGAUCAUGACCAGAAACAAUUCCUUGUACUAGGUUAACAUCUUGAGCCCUUUCUAUUAUUCUGCUUAAAACAUCGCUAACCAAGGUAAAUAGGAAUGGUGAUAACGGGUCCCCUUGUUUUAAUCCCCUAGAGGCUCUGAACUUUCCUCUUGGUUUUCCAUUAAUCAUAAUGGAAAAGUUGACAGAUUCCAAGCAGCCUAUAAUCCAGCCUCUCCAUUUGACACCAAAGCCUUUCCUUUCCAGCACAUCAUCUACGAAAUUCCAUUCCACAUGGUCGUAUGCUUUCUCGAAGUCAAUUUUGAAAACCAGCCCUUUUCUUUUCUGUUUUCUGACUUCCUCUACAACUUCAUUUGCAACUAACACAGCAUCUAGAAUCUGUCUCUUUUGGACAAAGGCUCCCUGAGAUUGGGAGAUAGUAUUUCCAAGAACCUCCCUCAAUCUUGAAGCCAAGACCUUGGAUAUCACUUUACAAACAUAUCAGAUUAUAAGAAGACAAUACUUGCUAGUCAAUGGUGAACCUCGACAAGAUAAUCAUUCAACAGAUCUAGAUCUAAACUUUCAUUCAACAAAACUGAUGCUAACUUACUGAUUGAAGAAAAAAUCACAGAGAAAGAAACACAUCCUGGUCAUUAUCACAUUAUAAGAACCCAUAGAACACAUACUUACAAAAUAGAACAAUAUGGAAGCAGAUGGAUCAAACUAACUUUAGAUGAUCAGCUACAUCAGAAAACAAAGUCAUGUCAAACACCAAAUUAUCAAAUUUUAUUUGCUCCAAAGAUUGCGUUAAUUUAGUCUGAGUCUUAGAAGAAGUGAUCAGUAAAAGACCUUCAAAAGCUUUCUGAAGUUGUUCGGCAUCUUCCACUGGAGAAGGAACCACAUCUGGUACUCUAAGAGUCGCCAUUCUUUCUCUCUGUGUCUCUUAAGUGUGUGAUCCCACAAAAUUUUGGAUGUUGAUUAUUUGAGGUGGAGCUGAUGAAGCAUCUUUGGAUGGAAUUGAACUCCUUUUGAAAGUUUAAAUUGCUAUCCUCUCAGCACAAUCCGUCAAACUUUAAUUUGAAUGUCAAAAACAUAUUAAGAUUCUACGAUCCAACUAUCUGAAUUUAAUGUCUCCAGACUCUCUCCAACUGCAAAAGCAUGCACCUGGUCCUGAACCUGAACCCAACUGCAAGCACGGUUCUUCUUCACUCCUCUUGAUUUCAUCAGUUCCCUCACCCUGUUUACCUCAUCCCAUCUCCCAGCUUCUGCAUACAUGUUUGAAAGAAGUAUAUAGUACCCACAAUGCUCAGGGUUCAACCUGAACAAAUGGUCUGCUGCCCAACUAGCCAACUCUACGUUCCCAUGGAUUCGGCAUGCUCCAAGCAAGGCACCCCAAAUAUUGGCAUCUGGUACAAUGGGCAUGCCUUUAAUAAGCUCUACUGCUUCUUCCAUAAGGCCAGCUCGGCCAAGGAGAUCAACCAUGCAAGCAUAGUGCUUUUCUGUCGGCUCUAUAUUCAGUGCCUGCAUUCCCUCAAAAUAUUUUUUCCCCUUCUCAACCAGCCCUCCAUGGCUACAAGAUGACAAAACUGCAAUAUAGGAAACUGAAUCGUAUUCUACACCGUCUUCCCUCAUUGCUUCAAAAAGACUGAUUGCAGUGUUAAGCUCACCUAGCAUUCCAUACCCCAAAAUCAUAGUAUUCCAAGAGGCUACAUCCUUGCUUGGAAUGCGGUCAAAGACCUUAGCAGCAAGAUCAAUUCGUCCGCAUUUGGUAUAAAAAUCCAAAAGUGAGUUUGCAACAAACAGAUGAGUAUGGAAAAGCUUUCUUACUAAUGACCCAUGAAUCUCUUUGCCUUGCUUGAUUGCAGUUACAUUUGCGCAAGCUGAUAUAACUCCCACAAAGGAAACAAUGUCAUGAAUCAUUCCCACAAGCUUCAUUUCAGAAAACAAAUUCAGAGACUCUAAGCAAUCCGUAGUUUGAGAAUAGCCAAUUAUUAGUAUAUUAUAAGACACCUCAUCCCUGAGGGAGAUGUCAAAUACAUUCCGAGCAAGAUCUAGCCGGCCACAUUUUGCGUACAUGUCUGUCAGAGCAUUGGAGACAAACAAAUCGGAGGCAUAUAGCAUGCGGACUGUCCUUGCAUGGAUUUCUUUUCCAUAAUGAAGGGAACCCAACCGAGCACACGUUGGAAGAAGAUUUGUGAAGGUGACAGAAUUGGGAAUUUCACCAUGACCUUGCAUUUGUCUCACAAGUCCAAUGGCUUCCAACUCAAGCCUGUUUUGACCAAAAUUAGCAAUCAUAGCAUUCCAGGAAACAAUAUUCCUUUUAUCCAUCUCUUGGAAAACAUUGGAUGCCUCAUUUGAACGGCCUGAUUUUGCAUACAUAUCAAUUAGUGAGUUGGCAAUGAAGACAUCCGAUUCAAUACCCAUUCUUAUACUGAAACCAUGGAGUCUUCUACCAACUCCAAAAAAUGCAAGUUCAACCAACACUGGUAUCAUGCUAGAAAUUGUGACAGAGUUUGGUUUAACCCCUUCAUCAAUCAUCCAUCUAAAUGUAGCCAAGGCUUCAAUGUUAUGCCCCAUGUAAGAGAGACUAGUGAUAGCAGCAUUCCAAGAAACCUCAUUCUUCUGAAUUAUCUCACCAAAAACUUGUUUUGAAGCGUUCGCAUUCCCACAUUUCCCGUACACAUCAACCAAUGCAUUUCCAGUAGUGACCAGAAGAUCCAAACCAGCCUUCACAACAUAGCAAUGAAUCUGGAUCGCCAUCCGCUCAUCUUCCAACUCUGCACAAACCGGCAACACACUAAUGACACUAACAAGAUUUGGCUUAAACCCAAUUCCCAAAUUCAUCUCUCUAUAAUAAUGAAGUGCCUGCACGAAAAACCCAUUGGCUGUAAACACACCAAUAACCGUAUUCCAUGAGACAACAUCCCUUUCACGCAUUUCAUCAAACACCCUCUUUGCAUCUCUCAUAUCCCCACAACUACCAUAUAACAUUAAAAGUGUAUUUCCAACGAAAACAUCAAAAUCAAAGCCCACUUUAAACACAACCCCAUGAAUCUCCAUCCCUUUUUUUACGUCCAAAAGGUCUGAACACGCUUUGAGAACGAAAGGAAAUGUAUGAUCAUCGAGUCCAACACCGCUUCGAACCAUUCGAUUGUAAGUCUGAAAAUUAUCAUUAACUUGAGCAAUGGAAUAAGCCCGUAUGAGGGUGUUCCACAAGAAAGCAGUGCGACAACGAUGAACUGUUUGUUCGAAGAGAUGGUGAGAGGUUUCCGGGUAUUUGAAAGUGGCGUAACUGAGCAUGAGGGAGGCGCAAAGAGAGACACUGUGGGGAAGUAAACCAUUGAGGAGAGCAGAAGCAUGGACUUGCUUGGUUUGGUGAAGGGUUUGGACAUUGGAGCUGAGUGUGAGGAGGUCAGUAUGAGGGUAAGUUGGUGAGGCAUGUGUGCACAGCGUUGUGGUGGUAGAGAAAGACAAGAUCUGGCUUGGAGUGUAAUAAUGUUUUCUGCAUGAGAGUAGCGGAACCAAAUGAAAGUGUCUUAGUGCAUGGUGGAGAUGGUUUAACAUAGAAAGAAGCAAGGAGUUGAUGUCUUAGAAGAACGAUAUUAUAUAAGUUUGUAGCUUCUCUGUUCUUUGGCCAUCAGUGGUCUACACUCUCACUAUUCUUCAUUACACUGAAAUGUUAGAAAACAAUAUGUAAGCUAUAAGGCAACUGCGGUUGCCAAUAAAUAUGGGGUUAAUUUUUUCAAUAAGCGGUUACUGAUAAACAUAAAGUUCGAAACAAUGAAAAACAUAGGAUAUAUAAUUCAGAAUCUCAUGGGAGCAACAAAUCAAUUGCAGCAAAGUAAAUUUGGUCUGGCAUUUAACAAAAAAAAUUCAAUUUCUAAAUUAUUUACAGAAAAAUGCAAGCUACAAACCUUAGUAAGAAAUCGUGGUCAGUGCCAGUAGUAAGAUACAGGAGGCCCUAUACCAAAAUAGAAAUGGUGUUCCUUUUUAUAUGAAACUAAAAUGAGUAAGUUCUUCACAUCUUCUGUUCUUUUUCUUUCCAGGAAUCAAUCCUAUCCAGAUGGGUGUAUCUAGGAGACAUUUUUAAAGUUAAACAAACACAUAUAUAACAGUGAAAUUGGGGAAAAAGAAAAAAGAUAGAACAUGAUUUUUAAGCAGGAAGUACAAACUCAGGUUUGCUUGAGAAAAUUCACAAGCAAAAUGUAUGACAAUUAAUCUGAAAUUAAAACCUGGCGAAGAAGACAAUGCCUACUUUGAUGGUGCAUAAUUUUCUUACCUUACAAUUCCCAGAUUUCAUCAGCUUCCCGAAUCAGAUUCUUCAUAUCAGAUGAAAAUCGUUCCCAAAUUCCUCAAUCAGAUCCAAAUCGUCCUUGAGAUUCACAUCUGCAUUGUCCGAAUCCAUCAACACCUUCAAUUCGUCAAACGGCCACCCAAAAUCGUUCCCCUCCUUCUGCAACCUUGUCUGUUGAACCUUCUUCGCGCGACUGGGCUUAGGUUCGGUGUUCAAAACUUUUUUUUGGCCAACAUUGUUCGGUACUUCGCUGCCUCUUCAUGUUGGUGGGUUUUAAUGGGCUAAGAGCAUCUCCAACCGAUGUGUCAAAAGUAAUACAUAAAUAUUUAAUAGUUAAAAAUAAAAUCUCAUAUCAUUUCAACCGAAGUGUUAAAACUGAUGUGGAAUGAAGGCCAGAUGUUGAGAUGUUAUUUUUGACAUUCCAAAAGUAAGAUGUCAAAUGAAUAUUUUAUUAUUUUUUCUUUUCUUUUCUUUUUAAUUAAAAAUAAAUCAACACUAAAAUGUAAUAAAAUAAUAAUUUAAUUUGACACAUCAGAUGGAGUGUAAAGCUAUGUAAGAGCAUCUCCAACUGAUGUGUCAAACGUGCCACAUAGACAUUUAACAACUAGAAAUAACAUCUCACAUCACUCCGACCGAUGUGUCAAAACUGAUGUGGAAUGAAUGCUAGAGGUUGAGAUGUUAUUUUUGACAUCCCAAAAGCAAGAUGUUAAAUGAAUAUUUUAUUAUUUUUUAAAGAUAGGUGGCUAUUACUUGAUAGGUGGCUAUUACUUUCAUUUAUUAUUUUCCUUUUUUAUUUUUUGUUUCUUCUUUAUCUUAAAUGAUUUGAUUGUUACAAUAAUUAUUUAUUUGACAUAUCGGGUGGAGUGUAAAAGUAUGCAAAUGUCAAAUUGCCACAUCAGCCAUCAAAUUUAAAUUUGAUGUUUGGUAUUUGACAUCUCCCUUGGAGAUACUCUAUGUUAAAUUGCCACAUCAAAUUUGAUGUUUGGUAUUUGACAUCUUCCUUGGAGAUGCUCAAGGCCAAUUAUUUAAAAACUUUCAACAAAAAAUCUUUUAACUCAUACCCAGCUAAUAUAUAUAUAUAUAUAUAUAUAUUUACAGAUAUAAUAAACUACAUGGAAAGCUUUGAAUUAAUAAACUAUAUAUGGCAUAUGAAAUUGGAGUAUGAACAUCAAUAUUUUAUUUUUUAUUAAUAUAUAUAUAUAUAUUAUUAUAAAUUUAUUAUUUUUUUAAGGUAAAAUUAUAGUAAUUGUUCCUAGACUAAGAUUAAACUUUACUUUUCGUUCCUCAUAUUGUUAAAUUAUUACGGUGGUACUUUAAUUAUGCCUCCACUUUUAGAAAUUAUCCUUUCCAUUAUCUAGUCAACUUUUUCACUAAAAAUGAUGACAUGGCUUGGCAUCGACAAAAAUGUCUUUUCACACAAAAAAUUUAAAAAAUAAAUCAAAUCUCUCUCUCCAGCGCCGAUUCAAAAUAAAAAAAUGAAAAAUGAAAGCUAAAGACAGAGAUUCGGGCUUUUCCAAAGAAUUAAUGCAGCUUUCCCAUUCCCUUUGAUUUUCUUCCCAGCCCCAAAUUUCUUGUCAAUUAAUAAAAUUUUGCUUGUUGGAUUAUGCUGGUUGUUUAUCCAUUGAUUUUUUUUAUUUUUUCUGGAGAUCUCAGUCCGCUUUGAUAUAUUAGGCUCCCAAAAAAGAAUGGCCUCUCUAUUUCUUCAUCAACCAAGCAUGACUUAGCUAGGUAUAUGAAAUCGAAACCUAUAUGAGGAGCGAUCUUCAGUGCAACCCAAAAGGUGAUGAAAAGCGAUCCAUCCUCCUACUAAGGAGACAAACAAUGCAAGCGGCCCACCUAGAUACCCAUCAACCCUCUGCUUCUCUGUUUUGACCAGAUUUAGGGUGGAGGAAGGGGGCUGGGGUUUUGGGUUCAUGGGUGCUGGGAUUGCGGGCUACGGUAGAGGGUGGCUGUGCUUGUGGGAUAGGUUUGAGGGUUGGAGCUUGCAGGUGGUAGUCAUGGGGGAAUGAUGGAAGAAGAAAUCAUCGGGGGAAGAGGGAGAGCGCACAGGAGAGAGAGAGAGAGAGAGAGAGAGAGAGAGAGAGAGAGAGAGAAAUUAUGAAUGUCCCAAUUUGCCCUUAAUUUUGACAGAAAAUUUAACUAAGUUGACGGAAAGACCAAUGAUGCAACAUGAGAUCUAAUUGAAAUAUCACCGUAACAAUUUAACAAUAUGAAUGAUGAAAAGUAAAGUUUGGUCUUAGUCCAGGGAUCAUUACUACAAUUUUUUGAGAUUUGUCAUUUUUCGUGUUCAAGAUUGGUCUAGGGGUGUACAAGAUUUAAUUCAAUCCAUCUAAAUUAACCAAUUCAAUCCAAUUAAAUCCAAUUAAAUUUCAAUCAAUUUUGAUGAUUUGGCGGAUUGAAUUUGAUCCAUAAUUUUUAAAAAAGACAUGAUUGGAUUGGAUGACUGAUUUACUUAUGAGAAUCCAAUCCAAUAUGGUUAGUUUUCAGUUUAUUUUGCUCUUGUAGAUAUUUAUAAUUAAAAAAGUUAUGAAUAUUUUAAGUCAUUUAAUGAAAUACUAUUUAAUAUAUUAUAUAAUCAAAAUAAUUUUUUAUGAUAUUUCAUUUAUAUUUUACAUUUACGUCUAUUAAUAUUUUAAUUAGAUUAAACUUAAAGAUAAAUGUUUAAUGCCCUUCCAUAUAGAUCGUUGUCGCAUGAACUUUGUCAAUAAAUUACUAGCCUUCCUAUUGAUCUUGAUUAGUUUCAGCUUAUUGAGAGUUCUCUUUUCUUUCUAUUCUAGACCGGACCCAUUUUUAGAUCGUCUCCUGAAACACCUGCUUAUCCUGCAUGUGCUUUCAGAGCCCCCCCACCCAUUCAAUAACUUGCUUGUGAUUGCAGCCAUUCUCCCAUUUUAUUAUUGUCCCUUUCCAUUAAACCAAUCAUCCAAUCCAAUCCAAUCUAAUUCAAUCCAAUUCAAUAUUAAUUCGAUUGAAUCGAAUUACAUUUAAACAUCUAAUAUGAUUGUAUUGGAUUGAAAAAAUCACAAUCCAAUUUAUAUUAAAUCAGAUAUGAAUGGUCCAAUUCAAUUCAAAUCUAAUCCAAUUCAAUCUAAUUCAAUCCAAUUCGAUCCGAUCGAAUUGCAUUUAAACAUCUAAUAUAAUUGUAUCGAAUUGAAAAAAUCACAAUCCAAUUUAUAUUAAAUUCAAAAUUGUAUUGGUUUCCAAACCAAUAUAUCCCUAAAUUGGUCAAAAUAAAAUAUGAAAGGGAAAUGGGAAAAAGAGAAGUCCAACAUUAUCAUAUAUAUAAUAGAACAUAAAACACAACUCCUUUAGCAAAAAUACAAAAGAAGAUGCACAUAAAUUAUAUAAAAUAAGUCCAUCCAUAAUCUUUACUCACCGCACUAGCAAGAUUUAUUGAACAAAGUCCACACAAAACCAUAAAAGAAGAAGAAGCAUCCAAUGAAGGAAAAGAUAACAACUCAUGGAAGAAAACAUUGUGGGAUUCAAGCAUCUCCAUGUCCAACCAGUUCCACAAGAAACUUCUCAUAGUCUCCAGAAGUGUCUUUAACAAUUGCCUGGUCCAAAGGAACACUGUUCCUGCGAUGAUAUUCUUGUUUAAUGCGAUGCAAGUCAACCUCCGCCCGGGUGGUGACAACCCUAGUAAGAGCCCCUUCGUCCGUCCCGAGCUUGUUGAUAGCCAGGCGCAGAACCUUCUCAAAGUAUUUUUCAGGGACGGUCAAGCUUUUAAUUGUUUGCCUCAGUAACAGGAGGAACUCAUCAUCUUUAUCAGCCUUCAAAUCCUUGUUAAUGGCAUUGCCAAACUCGUUGUUGUAGUGAUUCAAGGUUGCAUUCAGCUGUGCUUUACUCCUGGUAGAGAGGAUCCUGAUGAGCUCCUCAUCAUUGUAGGCUUUGUCUGAGAUUUUCUCAUGAAGUAUCUUAGCCUCUUUCUUCGCCAAGGGCACGCUGAUCUCAUCUCCCUCGUAUCGGUAAGUGCUCAAAAGAGGAACCAAAAGCUGUGACAGAAUCAACAAUCAGAGCAAAAGGAAGAAAAAAGAAAUUCUAGGCAGCAAUGUAGUUGAAGCUGUUUGAACAAAUUACUUCCAAUUCAAUACAAGAAAUUGGAUACAAUAGAAGAUCAAGACGAUACGGUUUCAACUAGCCAACUUGACAUUUGAGAGCACAAUCAGAUUAAGAAUGAGUUUGGAGGUUGAAGGUUUGUACCUUGCGCAAGUCUCCAGAUGUAUGGUAUGCCACAUCUUCUUCAAGGGAUUUCUUGAAACGCGCAUGAUACGCCUGCUUUACCAGCAACAGGUCAUGGGAAGACCUAGUAGUAGCUAUUUCCAAGAGCACUUUGUUGCUUGAAGUGAACCUCUUUGUAGCUUCAUUAGCCAAAAAUGCAUCACGCUCAGCAGGGACCAGUGUCCACAGCAGCACAGCCCUCUGGUUAUGCAGCAAAAUAGGAAAUUCAAGCAGUAAACCUUUGAAAACAAAAUUAAAAGUAAAACCAGUAUUCAACUGAGAGAUAUAAUGCAUCCAAAUCUGACCUCAAAUUCACUUGAGAGCUCUUUGUCCAGUGACUUAAGAAGCUCUUCCCCAUAAGUUUCUGCAUAUGCCUGCUGAAUUAAUUUUCUCUGAGCUGCAUUCCUGUGAGUCAAUAUCGAAAUGAUCAACGCCUCAUUUGUCCCCCAUCCUGCACACAGAUAACGAAAAUCAAGUUGAUGAUUCAGAAUACAACCAUAAAAGUGCCUUGAUAAUUCAACAAAUCUUCAACCUCUAUCCCUAAUUAAUAUGAGCAGUUUUGUUUAAAUGCCUCAAUGUGCAGCUAGAUGCCAAGUAUUCAAAUUGGUCUAUGACAUCAAGCAUCAGUUUUCUUCAUCAUCUUCUAUUCUCCCAACUCUGUUUUCAUUGAUGAUCCCUUUCAAGUAAAUGGAGUUUUAUGCAAAUCCCAUAUAAAAGAAAGCAUGAACUAGUCAAGAUUAAAAUAAACAAAAAUAUUGGUUAAAGAAUUUUAAAAAAGUUGUAGAUCUAAUACUCUGACCCAACAAAAAUUAUCCCAAGAAAUUUAAAAUCAAAGAGAGAGAAACAAAUACUUACAAAGAACCCAGAAAACAGAUACAAAGUAAGAGAACAUGAAAGCAGAUCAAACUUUAGAUGAUCAACCAUAUCAGAUUAUAAGAAAGACAUCAAAUACUUGCUAGUCAAUAGUAAACCUCAAACUGGCUCAACAAGAUAAUCAUUAAAAAGAUCUAGAUCUAAAGAUUGGUUCAACAAAACUGAUGCUAACUUACUAAUGGAAAGAAAAGAUCACAGAGAAAGAAACACAUCCCGAUCAUUAUCACAUUAACAUAAGAACCCAUAAAACACAUAUUUACAAAGUAGAACAAUAUGGAAGCAGAUGGAUCAAACCAACUUUAGUCUUUAGAAGAUCAACCACAUCAGCAACAAAGUCAUGUCAAACACCAAAUGAUCAAAUUUCAUUUGCUCCAAAGAAAACACCAAAAAGAUGUGAUCAGUAAAAUUAAUUUAGUCUGAGUCUAAGAAGAUGCGAUCAGUAAAAGACCUUCAAAAGCUUUGCGGAGUUGUUCAGCAUCUUCCACUGGAGAAGGAACCACAUCUGGUACUCUGAGAGUCGCCAUUCUCUCUCUAUCUGUCUCUCUGUCUCUUAAUUGUGUGUAUGUAAGAAGAGUAAGAGGGCAAUGAUAAGAGAGUGCGGAGCCUGGUCCUUAUAUAGAAUUCAAUUGACAUGAAAUCUCCAUUUUAUUACCAUCGUAUAAGUUGUAACGGUGGUUUCUUUUACAACUCAAGUGGAUAAGAGUAUUUAUUCGUGAUAAGUUUGAUAUUUCAAUAUCGAUUGUAUAAAAAUAAAAAUAAAAAUAAAAAAUGAAAAAAUGAAAAGUAAAAAGAAGAAUAUCGUCAAAGUGCCGCCCAUAAUUGUUUGUCUUUUAAUUAUUAAGGCAAUGAUGAUGUUUGGUAGUGGUAGUGGCAGUGACAGGGAUAAUGUACACGUACACUAUUCAGUCCAAAUGCAAUACAAUUUACAAUGUGCUACCUCAGUUCAUGUUGUCACUAUCCCAGGAGCUACACGUACUGUUUUCCUAAAUUUUGAGGCAAUCUUCCUGUCCUGGCGCAGUGUAAUGUAAUGUGGCAAAAUUUAUGGCUGAGGACUGAGCUGUAAAAGUAGGAGAGGGGAUUGAAAUGAAAGUGAAAAAGUAAAAAAGAUAAAAAGCGCAAAGGAUGUUCAUGGUUUUAUCCAAUCCUCCCAAACGGAGUGAUUCAAUUUUAAAUCCGCGCAAUGGUAACUAUUCUUUAGCCUUUUGGCAUGACAAUAUACAUCUAAUUCUCUCUUUGUCUUUUUCACAUAACACAAUUAUGCACCGUAUAUCCAUCCAUCUCCCUUUUUUGGGCUCCACGUUUUCUUUUGCCUACUGCCGCGUAGCAGUAGCUGUCUACCACGUGUUCACUCAACGAAACGCCGCGUUUGUAAGCGGAAAAAAAAAAAACAGAAGGAAAAAUUGAACAAACCAAGAACGACUUCACUGGGGAUCGAACCCAGAAUCUCUGGUUCCGUAGACCAGCGCCUUAUCCAUUGGGCCAUGAAGUCCUUGUUGUUGUUGAAAAGUCUCACCUUCUAUAAAUAUCUAAAAAUAAUGUUUUUUUUUAUAAUUCAAAACCAUCACUUCACCUCUAUCGACUCACCGAGUUUGCCGAGUUAGGAGGCUCACCAAAUGCUAAAACCUUGUUGCUUUUGCAAUAAGAUUGUAGUUGAAGUGAUUAAAAUUAUUUAGCCUGCAUCUCGGGUCUUUUCCCCAAUAUGGUUUUGGAAAUUUUUAUUUUUUUUAUUUUUUUUUGGUAACUGCUAAAACUUGGUGCUAACAAACUGCUAGGUGACCCCUGACCAGUGAGCCCAACAAAGUUUGAAAAGAAAAUAGCUUUGACCUCACUCUUUCUUCUAUCUUUUAUUAAUCCAAAAACCCUCUCUCUUUCAUAGAAAGCUUCCUUUCUUUUUUUGGCUGAGACUUCGACGAACUGGCCGGAGAAGAAAGAGAACGUUUGAUUUGGUUUUAUAAAAGCCAAAACAACAAAAACAAUAAAGUGGGAAUAUUUAGUUAGAAUCAAUCAAUCAAGUCCAGAGAAAAUGAGCUGAAGGGUUGGGUUGGGACGACUCAUGAGUGGUGGGAAAUUGGGAUUUGAUCUUGAUUGGUGAUACAUAGAGUGCAAAUUUGGAAAUGGGUAGGCCACGGUCUUUUCGGAGCAAGGCAGUCCACUUUGUAUCUGAUCUCACCACUGUCUUGCUCAAUCCCAUUUCUGACAAACCCUCCAAAACCUCUUCUCCUCCUCCUCAUGCUGUAAGUUUUUCCUGUCUAUUUAUUCUUUAUUCUUUAUGGUUCUGUCUUGAAAUGCUUUCUGGGUUAUUUUGUUUAUUGGUUUUUGUUUUACGAUGUAAUUGGUCUGGUGUUUCUUUAAGUUCUGGUAAUUAGUAUUCUGUUCAUUGGGUGCAAACCCAAUUCAUGCUGUAUGUCUGUCCUUAGCUUAGUAUAUGGGUUUUCCUGGAUUUUUUUAUGUUCUGGAGCUAUAUGUGCUUAUUCAGGGAGUUCUACUCUUGGAGUUUUUUUUGUGGGAACUUUUUAUUUUUUAUCGGAUUUUGCUUUGAUUGAAUUUUGCACUUAGAACUGAAAUUCAUUACUAAUGAUUAGAACUUUUAGAUACAUGAAAAUUUUAGUUCAGUUUUUAAUUAGGAUCACUAAUUGGCUUUUGUGUUCCUAUAUUUGUCAUUCAGUUUGGAAUAAUAUGGAGGCAGUUUAUUAUUUAUUGGAAAACAUCAGGUUGUGAGUUUGCAUAACUAAUAUAGAUGAAUAUAUUUUUUGUUCACAUCUAUUGAACUAGAUCAUGUUAGAUUUAGAUUUUACAAGAAGUUCUCCGAGCCCUGACUAUGUAAUUCUCGUUUCCACAGGAAGAUGAGGAUGAGUCCAAAGGAAGUCAAAAUGAAUCAAGUAGUGAAGAGAGUCCCGUUAAUGUAGUUGAUGGGCCUGACACUUCAUCCUUUAGUGCAUUCCUCUACUCUCUAUUGUCAUCAGAGUCUGAAGAUACUAAUACAAAUGCAGAUGAGAAAAUUGAUAAUGAAAUGGAUAGGAGUAACCCAUCAUCUGAUUCUGCAAUCAAAGGAAAUGGUGGAAAGAGAAGUUUACUUUCUAAGGGGAAACAGUCACUUAGUAAAGUUAUCUAUCAAGCUGCGAGAUUUGGUGGAUAUCGGAGUCAAGAACGCAAGGGUAACCCUGACGUGAAAGUUGAUGAUAGGAAUGACUUGGAAUUUACUGGAGUUGAGAUGAGGCAUAUGCAGAAAGCCGAAAAGCCUAUGGCUUUGGUUGAUCUCCCAGACAUCUCUGAACCUUCUUUACUUCUUACAGAAAUAACUAGAACUGCUCUUUAUGCUUCAAUGCCAGCACUUGUUCAAGGACGGAAAUGGUUGUUACUGUAUAGGUGCAGACGCAUGAAUUUUCAUUUGCACAAUUACAAUUAGAUCUUUUGAAAGUUCUAAUUAAUCUUUACUACACGAUUAUUUUACCAUCCAAUGUAUUCCUUGUGUCUGGCAGUACAUGGAGGCAUGGCAUAUCAUUGUCAAGCCUAUACAGAAGAAGCGUGCUUUGGCCUGGCCCCAGUUUGCUGGUAAUUGUUAACCAGACUAUUAGCACCAAUGAUUUCAACUAAUGGUCAGGUCAACCUUUUAGAUUAACUUAUAUGAUAUAAAUCAUCUAAUAAGCAAGAGGAUGUGACACAAAGCAAACAAUUAGUAACUAAAAUCCUUGAGUUCCGUUGUUUUGAAAAGUGUAUCAAAUAAUUUCCUUUAUUUAUUUAUUUAUUUUUUUUGCAUUGUGUCGUUAACUGAUUAUCAAAUUCUUAGACUUGUUAUGCUUUAGUUUAUACAGAAGCAUAUAAUCCAAAAUAAUUUUUUUUACUUAUUUUAAAUAUUUGUUCAGGUUGUUGGAGACCGUAAAGGUGCAGUUUUUGGUGGCUUGGUGGAGGCCCCUCUAAGACCAACCAACAAGAAGUAUCAGGUCCUGCUGAAACUCAUACUGGCUUUCAGUUCAUCCACAAUUAUUUCCUUCUAUGUAUGUUGUAUUCAUGCCAACUUUUUAAACAGGGAACAAAUGAUACAUUUGUUUUCACAACUACACCUGGAAAUCCUGUUAUAUUUCGCCCUACAGGUACUAAUUUAUCCUUUUUGCUUCCAGUUUCUGAACUUAUGUAGGUGGUAGGCUUGGUCUUUUUCAUGCCUUAAAAAAUGGUUUUGAUAUUUAUAAAAGAUAGAGAAAUAAACUCAAUACUUUUUGCUUGCAGUAAAUAUUCUUGGAGGGAGUAAUUGAAAAAUGUCAUCUGGUUAAAUGUAUUAAAAAUAUGUAUUUCCCACCUCCAUAUUGUUUGGAAAUUAGGGUAAAAUUUAUUGUUAGUACUUCAGCUUUGAUUAGAGUAAAGGAGGUGUUCCUGUGAAGUAGUAGUAGAGCAUUUUGAACGAAUGCAAUCUUCAUGAAACAUCUAUCAGGUUAAGAUUUGCAUUACAUCGUAAUAAAUGUACUAUAAAAUUUUCAUUUUAUUGCUUUCAUUCUUCUGAUGUAGCAGUUGUAUUGUGUGAUUGCUUUCUUUAACUAUGGUAUUCUUAGUUUUAUGCAUUAUAUCUGGUCCAGAUCCUAAUGGAUGGCCAAUAAUGAUCUGACACUUUGGUUCUAAAAGCAGCUGCACGUAACCCAUUGUACAGAACAUGCUAAAGGCUAAGUUUCCAACUAUACCAUUUCAAAUACCACAUGAUGCUUGUCUUCUUUCUGUUGGGGGGGACUUGAAUAUGCAUUUGAAUUAUGCAUAUGGUAAAUAUUAUGUUUUCUUGACUUUUUUAAAAAUACCUGGAAGAUACUUAACUAAAUAUUCUGGAAUUAAGCAGGUGCAAAUCGCUAUUUCACAUUGUGCUCCACUGACUUUUUAGCAAUUGGUGGUGGUGGUCAUUUUGCACUCUAUUUGGACAGUGAUCUGUGAGAAUUUUGCCUCUUAAUUUUUUGUAAAAAAUAUAUUUUUUCCUUAGAUAUUUUAUAUUCAGCGAGCCCUCAGUUAAAAGAGGGAAAUUUGUAUGCAUUUGUAACCUUGUUCAAUGUUUGUUAUAUGGUCUAUAAGAUUGAGUGGAUCAAGUUCAUUCUCGGAAACCUAUGGGAAUCCUUGUCUUGCACACUCAGAAGACUUUGAGGUGAAAGAAGUUGAGGUGUGCUCUCUCUCUCUCUCUCUCUCUCUCUCUCUCUCUCACAUGCGCACGUAUGCUCAUCUACACACACAUAUAUGCCCAUGCACAUGGUCCCUCGGGUACAUAAUUUUCACAAGGACUUCUCACUGUUUCCAAAUGAAAAGAGAUGAAAUGUGACGAAUAUUUUUGUGCAAUGCAGCUGUGGGGCUUUGUAUAUGCUACUAAGUAUGAGGAAGUACUUGCUCUAAGCCGUAUGGAGGCACCUGGGAUUUGCCGAUGGUGAAUGCUUUAUUUGGACCGAAUUUUUCUAUGGUGGUUAGCAUCAUCACCUUAGCUGAGGCUAAAUGUUGUAGCUGGUUUUUUGUAUUUGCGACUGAUGUCUAGUCUUUUGUAUUUGCGAACCAAUUUCCUAUUACGUUUGUAUAGACAGGUCCCUCAAUGUACAUAAUCAACACCUAAGCAUUGUACAACCUUUUUGAUUAGAUAGUGAUUGUAAAUACCAAAUACUGUACUGGUUGGUAAUAAAUGUGUACAAGAAGAUGCACUCUUGGAUCAUGUUUGCGUAUAAUUCGCGCCAAUUAGCAUUCUAGACUCUGCUGACGAGUAGCUUAUCAUGCCAGCGGCCGUUAGACUGGAGAAUCAUGUGACUUUGGACGUAAAAGUAUAAGUGAGAAAUAGAAAGUGUUUCUAAUGCCAAGAGUCUAGGGAUUGAAUCUCAUGUUACGGAUACUCCCUUUUUUUUUUUUUUUUUUUUUAAUCUUUGGUUUAUCUUUUUGUUGGUUAAGGAUUUCCUACUACUUCAAGGAUGUUUCCUCUUAGUUUUCAAUGAAUUUUUUACUCCUUUUUUUUAAUUAUUUCUUACUUCCUUAAUUGUUGGUCAGUUAUAACUUUUUUUAAUGUCAAAAAACAAAACUUACGAGGAACCUCCAAAAACCCCUUGCUAUAGACAUGUAGAUCCAAAAACAUAAACACUAACAAUAGUACUGGAAUACACAUCUGAAAAACGAAUGCCAAAAUAUACGAUCUUAUAGAAUUAGACUUAAAAGAUAUAACUAUUUAACAAGAAAAUUGAACUAAUCCGCAUGUAUGAAAAGAGACCGCACCAGUUAACUAGUUAAUCUGUAAUCUACAAAAGAAGCCUGAGAAAGGACAGGAAUGACACUGAUGGGAAAUGAACUACAUACCAACACCACCCAAGAAAAGUAAAAAUUAACAAUGCCUUAUAGCUAAAGAUGUUAACUAGAACAAAGUCUGGUCGUGUGUUCAAGUGCGGCGUAACAAACUUGAUAGAGUUCGAUUCAAACAACUGCAGCAGCUUUCUCUCCAACCCCUUGUAAUUUUUUAGGAGAGCCACUCAGCGAACUUUUAUUCUUUGCAUCCACUGCUUCUUCAUAUGCAGCUGAAUGAAUACCAAGUGCAGCACGGCCAGAUGGAUCGAGAUUUUUCGACCAUGCUGCAUCCCAUUCCACAGCUUUUGCUGUACUACAUGCCACACUUGGGCCGCCUGGAACUGUUGAUCUAGCAGCAUUCUGUUCAGAAAUGGCAAAUUGAUCAUACUCACGUAAAUAAACAAUGUUCCAUUUUAAUCAAGUUAGAUUUAUAAAACAUGAGAGCAAAGAAAGUGGCAUGCCCAUCAUGGUUUCAUCGGAUACUAUUCGCCUUCUUAGUACUAGAAAAGAGCAUGUAGAGAAAUCAUUCGCCUACUCCAUGAUAAAUAAAGAAAUGCAAGAAAGCUAAAAUGAUAAUGUGAGUGAAUAUAUUUCUUUCAUGUAGCCAGGUCCCCUUCCUUCGCUUCUUGUAGAACUUGUAUCUUACCUUUGGAAAGAACUUCUCAAAUAUAGUCCUAUAGUAGUAUGCUUCUUUUGUGGUAGGCGUAUUUUCAGGGUAAAUGAAACUAGCAUGCGUCAGCAUGGCAUCUGUUACCUGUUCAGAUACAGGCAAACAAAGAUAAUUAAUUAUAUGCAGAUAAAGAAGUAUCUCUAAUGUUUGAUGCCAUGGGUUGUUGAACAAAGUACAGUUAGAACUCUAAACCGAAUUAUUGCAACACGAAAUAAGCCAGAAAUAAAUUAAUUUUCUCUUGCAAGAGGUUUGACAUGUUAUGUUGUCAAACUAUCAAUUUGAAACGCACAUUCGGAUAGGAGCUGCCUAAUCAAUAGUCCAAAUUGACAGUAUGGUAACAUAACAUGGCACACUCUCUAGCAAGAGAACAUUUCCCUCCAAAAUCAUUACUCUGAGCUAAGGUGAUGCAUACUUGUUUGUUUGCAUGAUCUUUCAAGCCAUCAAUCCAGCUGUAACCAACACCAUCACUAAACUGUUCCUUCUGCCUGUACAAUAUGUGCUAUAACCCAAAAAAUACAAGGUAAAAUUAAAGUUAGGUAUAUGUUGCACAAAUAGGGCAUGGAACUCCACACUGCAGACUGUGAGAGGCCACUCGACUGACAUUACAUAGCCAAGCACCAGGCCUCUCGCUAUCUGCACUGGAAGAUUUCCAAAUUGUGUAUGCAAGUUGAAUACACGACACCUUACUGAAACUCUUCCAAGAAAAAAAGUAACAAAAUAUGCAAAACGAUAACCAUGUAAGGCAUAAAAGCAAAAAAGUUACAAACCUUUGGCAAAUAUGGCUUCUGAACAUCAUCAAAUGCAUUGCGUAAGACCCACUUCUCAAUUCUCCCAAGAUCAGGCCUGAUCUGCAGUUACAAAUGCAAGUGCUUAGAUGUAGGAACUCAAUAAGAACUUUUAGUUUGAUAUGAUAAAUUGGCAAAAGCUAAAAUAACAACCAACACAAUCCCAAUAAUUUCAUAGCAGUAACUCUCUGAUCUUAUAAUCCAAAACACUGGCCAGAGAUCAUCCAAAAUCUGUGUUACAUACACUGAAACAAAUAACGAACAUCAAGAUGCCUGUCUCACCUAAGAAUGAAAAUAAAAUGGGUGAAUAAAUGACAGAACACCCAUAAUACAAAUGCAAAGGUCAUGGCGCUUAAGAAAUAAAUAUGAAGAGGGAAAACAAGGACCUGUACUGUGUUGGGAAAAUUGAUGUGUAUUUUAUUAAUACUAUGAAAAAAAACCCAGGUAGUAGCUCAUUUCCUUGAGCCAUGACACUGAAUUUUAUGGAUGGGCAGCAGUAUGCCAAAGACCUCCAAUUAUAUGCAUAUAAAAUUAGGGAAUAGAGGGGAAACACCAACAUUAAUAAGUGCUAUACCAUUUUCCAUUCUGGAUCAAUGGCCAUGGCAAUAUUGAUGAAUUCUUUAUCUAAAAAGGGCACUCGAGCCUCAACACCCCAAGCUGACGUUGAUUUGUUGGCCCUCAGACAGUCAUAAAGAUGAAGAGCUUUAAUCUGUUGAGUAGUCACAAUAGUUAAAUACGAAAAAUAAAAAUAAAAACAAGUCAUAAUUGCUGCAAACGAGUAAAACAAAAAUCCAGCAAUAUUGAAAGUACAUUACCAUUUCCCUCAAAUAAAACAGAAAAGAAACAGCCAGAGGGAGAGGGAGAGAGUUUUUAGGGGUACCUUCUGACAUGUUUCUUGGUGAAAUUCCUCCUUGUUUGGUGCCUUGUGAAAAUACAAGUAACCUCCAAAAAUUUCAUCUGAACCUUCCCCAGAAAGAACCAUUUUCACUCCCAAAGAUUUAAUUUUCCGAGACAUAAGAAACAUGGGUGUACUAGCUCUGAUAGUCGUCACAUCAUAUGUUUCAAUAUGGUAAAUAACUUCCUCAAGAGCAUCUAUUCCUUCCUGAAACAUUAAAGAAAAGAAACAAAUUAUCAGUAUGAUUCUUGGGAUGAAUGUAGAUCUUUGUUUCUGUCCUGGGAUUACUAAUGUAUGACAAUGUUUCCUCGAGUCCAUUGAUGUUGAAAUCAAAAAAUAGAAGAAAAGCAAGAGAAAGACAGGAGUUUAUGGAAGAAGUAGAAUGAGGGGAUAGACGAGGUAAAUGCAAUUGUGUUUAUAAUCAAUACACCAGAAGUGUGAAGCCUAUUACAAGCAAUCCUAAAUCAUUAAAUACCUAAAGAUAAUAAAAUUUUGGAACAGUAAUUAAACACAGUGCUAUUCCUCAAUUUUAAUAAUUAAAGACUAAAUAGAUUACAUGAUUUUUAAAUGUAAGAAAUAAACCUAAUAUAUACCCUUGAGCCUAAGUACGAAAGUUCCUCUCUUGCAUCCUUCAAUUACCUGUACAGUAAAGUGAAACUCAUGAUGACGAGUCCCAAGAUAAUCUGCAACUUCUCUUGCUGCUUUCAAAUCUGGAGAGCUCUGAAGAUUGAAAAUGUAUCAUUUGAAUGUAGAGAAAAAAUUUCAGAAAAGAUAAAAUCCAGUAAAAGAUUGAUUCCAGGAAAACACAUCAAAAGCUGUCCGUUGCCAAAAUUUGCAUCAGAAAGGUCAUUGAACAUCUAUAACAAAGACAUUCAUUUAUUUAUUUAAACUUGUCACGUUCUCUGCCUUCAUCACACAGGGUGUACAACUUUUUACCAGUGACAUUUUGAUGUCAUUUGGCAUAAGCAACAGAAGAAGCCCACCCGUGUAUGAUUCUUUGACUAGAAGGUGUAAUAUAUACUUGUUCAAACAGGAAAUCCAUGUCUACAAGUUUACAAACCGAUAGAAAACAAAUUGGCAACCUGAGGUUCAAGAACUAUGUUAAUAGACAUCUCUUGUUCACAAAGUGAGGACAUGUUGUAGUUGGCAUCAUCCAAACAAGCACUAUUAAAGAAAAACAGAAAGGGGGAGGAGGACUUGCAAAGCAUCACAAUUGGCUAUCUAAACAAGAUAUUAGCACUACAUUGAGUAAGCACUAAGUUUGGCUAUCUAAAGAGAGACAAGUGUUUCGACCUCCAAGCCAAUGCAAAAGGUGUGUAACUGUGAUCCCCACUGACAUGCAGCUUCUGAUUCGGCUAAAUAGCGACAAGCCACAGCAGCAACAAGUGAUGAGUCCAGUCCUCCAGACAAAAGAACACCGAAUGGUACAUCUGUCAUAAGUCUCUUAAACACAGCCUGCAUGAUGUCAAGAAAAAAUAAAUAACGGAUAUGAAGUUAGAAAUUCUAAACAUUAAAUGUGCUAUAAGAGUGUGAUUCAGAGGUCACUUUGUCCUACAACCUGGUUGUUGAAUCCAUAUGAACAAAUCACAUAUCUGAAUGCCAUUCCUAGCCUUAAAUUUUAAUUUGAGACUAAUGCUGGCAUCUUUUUCAUUAUAAAUACUUGCACAUCAGUAUAUGACAAAAAUUUCUAUAACUGAAACAGACAAAAUACAAACAAAAAAUUAAUAAAAAAGAAGGGAAGAGAAGAGGGGGGGUAAUGUCUUCCGGUCAAAUCAUUUAUAUGUUAGUCUCAUUAUUUUUAAAAAUAAGAAAAUCAUAUUUCUAUUUUCAGCUAGCUGACCAACGACACAGUUUCUCUUGUAUGGGACAAUUAGGCUGCUAAUGCAAAUGAAGGAUUACCCAUUCUAUUACAUUUUGCACAGAGAUUGGACGCAAGUUUAAUUUCUGAUUCUGAUUUCACAGAAUCCAGUUGCCAAAGUGGCUAACCAUGAAAGGAGGACUAGAAAAAAUGUCAAAGGAGCCCAAUGUUACCUACCCUUCCUCAAUGUUCAAACGCAAACAAGUUCCUCAAGUCAGCACCCAAUUGGCAGAGUCACACAUCAAGUUAGCAACUCCCCAGACUUAAGAUUAGGAAUGGGAAAAACUGGCAUAAAUCAAAAUCUCAUUUUUUAGACUCAUCUCAACCCACCCAGUAUUAACAUAAACAACCAAAUGCACAGUUCUCAAAUGACAAAAAUGCAAAAAUGGAGUUUGAUUUAUUACAAACUAAUUGCUGCUACCUGAUUAAAAGUAAUAAUUAAAACAUAAAUGCAAACAAGUAUAGGUUCAGUGCAUACCUUCUCAAAAGCCUUACGUAAAACUAUUGGAUCAUAAGAACUUGAUGGUGUCUGUUCCAAAAACCAUGGGGGGUUGUACCACCUUCUCAGCCCUCCUGAAGACAUAUAAGUUUGUGGAUAAAUAAAAUUACAGUGGAUACAACAUCUAAAAAGUUUAAGGAACACAACUUCAUGAUUUUUAAAUUCAAGUUACACGAAUAUAAAAAGACAACACUUAGUUUAUAAGAUCUUAAAUUUUGAAGAUAAUUACUUAUCCAAAAGUUUACAAGUUCUUAACUUUCUGAAGGUAAUAACUUAUCCAAAACAAAUAUACAAAAAGAAACAAUAAAGAUAAAGAUAUGUCAAAACCCUUGUUAUUUUUCAAAAUACCUUUAGUUGCUGAAGUAUAACAGAAUCAUUUCUUCUCCUUUUUUUCUCUUUUUAAAAUGGGAAAAAAGACAUUACAUGAGGAAGCUGCAUGCAGAUUUCACAUGAUUUUUAUGAAAAUGUUGAUGACUAACAAAGCCAUUACUUUCAUAAUUUCAUAAAUAGAAAUCUUUAAUGCUAACAAGAGCUCAGCAUAUACAUACCUUGCUUGCUAGAGUAAAUAUGCCCAGGAGGAAAAGAUAUGAAUCUUUCACAAUCAUCACUUAAAGCUUUCAUUUCUGAAGCAAACCAAAUUGAUCCUGUAAAGAAAUCAGUACUCAUUAAAUAUCUGCCUGUAGAGUACUCAAAGCUUAAACAUAAUAAUGAUUGAAAGUUAAAUGUUAAUGAUGAAGGCUUAAAUGUGAACUGUGACUGAGAACACAAUAUAACAAGAAAAACACAAAGACUUUGUCCAAUGCAAAGAAAAAUAUAAAGCAACAGUCAAGCAAAUAACAUUUUUUCGGUCGGUACAGUUGAGUAUAUUUGGGUAAAUCAAAGCUAAUUUGUGUUUGCUUUGAGAAACAAAGCUUUUCUUUUUUUUACAACAGGAGGAACGAAAAAUCAAAGCAACAGUCAAAGAAAAUUUGGGUAGACUAAACAUUAAAGUUAAUUUUUGUUUUCUUUUAGAAACUGACAUAGUCCAUACCAUCAAGACCCCAGCCCAUGUAAAGUGGGGUGAUACCAAUUGCAUCUCGAGCAGCGAUAUAACUGUUGUCUUUCGUGUCAAGAAGGACGAAGGAAAACAUGCCAUCCAACAUGUCCACAAACUCUUCCCCAUGUUCUUCAUACUGUCAAAGAUAAAUGUUCAAGUGAUGCAGGACAACAAGAACAUAUAGGAAGAAAAAAGAGAUCCAGACUCAGACUGGCUUUUGGCAUUGCACCAAAGGUGUCCAGUACAAAUUAGAAAAAUUCCGGCAUCACACCAAUGGGACCUUGGAAUCACUCCAAAGCUUACAAAGUAUAGCCCCUUUUGUAGGCUAAUUGCUACAUGAAUCUCAAAAGAUCCAAUUUAAUUCACUUAAGAAUUCUAAAGGCAUCUUGGGACACUUACUACAUCAAUCAUGUGAGAGAGACUCACAGACAAUAAGCCUUCAGAAAAUUGCAUUUAUUACAUAGGAAACUAGAAAGACUCUCUUUACUAAAAUGUGAACUUUUCUCAUGCAUCAUCAUAGCAAAAUAUAAUUAGAAUAUACAGAAAAUACGAACAGACAUUCACAAUAACUUUUUCUUUCACUAUCAUUUUAAAACCUUACAAAGUAGCCCUUUUAUAGGAUAAUUGCUAAAUGAAUAUCGAAAGAUCCAAAGUAAUACACUAUGAAUUCUGAAGGCAUCUUAUGACACUUAAUACAUCAACCAUGUCAAAGAGACUCAAAGACAAUAAGCCUUCAGAAAAUUUGAACUUUGCUCAUGCAUCAUCAUGACAAAAUAUAAAAAUAAUACAGAAAAUGCAAAAUAUGCAACCAUUUUUGUUCUAAUUCCGAUAAAAAGAAAGUCAUUUAAGCAUGGAUUACCAGAUCUCAAGUAAGAGUUCAAUUACUUACAAGAUGCGCAAUCACUUCACAGUCACUGCCAGUUCGGAACUGAUGCGACUUCAGCUUUUCUCUCAAUUGCUUAUGGUUAUAUAUCUCACCAUUAACCUAAAGGCACAGCUCCCAUAACAUUCGAGAAGAAGUUUAUGUCAACAUAGUUAGAUAAAAGCAAAAAUAUACAACAAAAAAAUAAGAUCACAAAAAUAAAGAACAACCAAAAAUUUGAACUGUGAAUGGCACGCUAAAAACCACUGAAAGGAAAGCUGUCUUGGGUAUUUAAAGUAAUCAGUAUUUACAAAUUUAUGGUUGCCCAUUCAAGAUUGAAAUAAAAGGGUUGUGACUAGAACACGUAAUACUUUAAAUUUCCCUAGACCAACAACCAAAAAUAUUAUAAAAGGGGUUCUGGAACAAUCAAACUUAUUUUGUGUUUGGUUCUGGAACAGAAUGAGAAUUUGUAGUUAGGGCUAUCUAUUACAAGGUCCUUCAUUGCAAUGUACCAAGGUGCAAAUUUCAAUCUUUCAUCCUAUCCAAAAAUCCCAUUAAUUGAAUUGCAGUGAAGUUUUAUAAAGCAGAAUGCGAAGCAAGCUGUAUCAAUAAGUUCACCGACAACACAAUGCUAGAGAGAGAGAGAGAGAGAGAGAGAGAGAGAGAGAGAGAAAGAGAAUACAGUGACAAUAACAGUCUUGUCUUCGUUGUAAAGUGGCUGAUCUCCUGAAGCAGGGUCUACAAUAGCCAAUCGUUGAUGAGCCAGAUAGCAAUUUCCAUGGCAGUGCAACCCGCUCCAAUCAGGCCCUCGAUGCCUCAACCUAAACACAACGCAUGCAAACAAUUCUCACGCUGAAAAAAAGAAGAAAAAAAAAAAACCAACAUCUAAAACGAAAAUGCACAGAUAAUUGAGAAAAUAUAAUCAUAAAAAUGAAUGAAAAAAUUAAAAUUAAAACCAACAAAAAGAAAUGCUGUGCCUGCGCGAGAGCUCGAUGAUGCGGGAGCGCUUGGCCUGAGAGUUAUCAAUGCAGCCAAACACUGCGAGAAUCCCACACAUGGCGUCGUCGUCGUCGUCGAUGGAGUGAAGAAGGAAGAGGAAAGAAAAUGGAAAGGCAGAGUGUGAAAGUGGAGGCUGCGGAGAGAAAGUUGGACUGGCGUGAUCUUAUGAAGUACUGGAACUUUGAUCACGGCCGUUGAUUCUGACGAGCUGACUGACAGACACUGCACAACUGUCCUAUCUAAGAUUCUAGUGCAGUCUGAUAAAAUAAAAUAAAAUAAAAAGAAAGAUUCUAGUGCAGUCAGAUUCUUUCUCUGUUAAAACGUGGUUAGAAAUUUGCUGACGGCAGAUUCAAAUUCUUUGGCGUUCAUUUGUUCAUUAGAUUCUAGUUUCCCUUCGGUAACGUUUUCAAGGCUUCGGUUUUAUUUUUUUUAAUCAAAAAACACAUUUGGUAUUUCGUUUUCAUUUUCACUGAAAUUAUUUUCUGAAAACAAAUUCAAUUUCAUGUACAAAAACUGAAAACAUCAAAUUAUUGUUUUCAUUUUUCUACCCAAUGUAUUGGUUUUGAUUGCUUUAAUUUUUUUUUGGUUGGUCUGAUUUUUUUUUCUUUUUCAUUUUUUUCCAUUUGUGUGUUUUUUUUUUCAAUUUUUCAGUUUUUUCGUUCCACUUCAUUGUUGUAUAUUAAUUUUAUAAUAAAACCAUCAUAUUUAUUUUAAACUAAAUAUAAUAUUAUUUUAUUAUAUAGGCUUUUCUAAAAUUAGAAUUUUUAUUAUUUUUUUAAUUAUACAUUAUUAUUCUCUAAGUAUACAUUUUUCAUUGUUUGUAAUAAUUUUAGCCUUUAAAAUAUCAGAAUUUUAAAUAAUAAAAAAUAGGACAGAAAUUAGCAAAAAUUAUACUUGAAAAAUAACUCACAAAUUAUUAUUUUAUGAAUCUGUUUUUCAAUUAAUCUACCAAACGCAUUUUCGAAUUCUGAAAAUGCAAAUUCAUUUUCUAGUUUUCAUUCUCAUAAAAUAUUUUCAGAAAACAUUCUCUGAAAACAUUACCGAACGAGAUGAUUAGAUGCGAAAUGCUAUAUUUUACUACAUUAGAAAUACGAAGAGUUUAUGUCACCUGAACUUAUACACCAUCUUCAUUUUAUUAUCUUUAAAAAAAUUAAGGGAGAUGUCUUCUCAAAGUGACCUCAACGUGAUAAGUUUGGUGUGAAUAGAAAACUCUUUCUUAUUUUUUACACAAUAGAAAGACUUUUUUUUAAUGCUGCUAAAUGAACCCUAAAUCUAACUAGGUUUCUCUAUUUUUUGACAUAAUAAUGCACAUGAUAGUAGUAAUAAUAAUAAGGAAAAUUAGGUAUAUGAAAUAAAAUUACAAAAAAAAAUUGAGCAUAGCAUGUGGACCCUAAUAAAGAAAAGUUUAACCAUCAAAUGCUUUCUUUUAUGAGGAAUGCUGGUUACCUUUUUGUUUGUACUUUGUUCUUUAUUUUGCUCAUUCCACUCAAAAUUGUUCAUUCUCUAAGUCACUUUUUAAAUAUCAUAUUUACAAAAUAAAAAUAAACCAAAUCGAGAAUCAUCGAGCUAUCUAGAUAUAAUAAAAUAAAUAGAAAAAUUAGUGUUUUAAUUAAACAUUGAAUGUCAAUAAUAAAAUAAAUAGAAAAACUAGUGUUUUAAUUAAACAUUGAAUGUCAAAAAUUGAAGGUAAAAUUAGUUCCAAUUCCAACCUAAGUGCCAAAGUCAAGUUGAAUUUAGCAUAUUGCUGCUCAGCGACAUAUUUUACAUAUUCAAUAGUAACCAUCAUUUAGCAAAGGGUUCAUAGUCCAAGUGAUUAAUAAAAUUUACCUUCGCACCCGAUGUCCUAUAUUCUAUUCCACCCUUCCCUAAUAUUGCUUUUAUUAAAUAAAAAAUUGCAACCAUCAUUUCUUUUAUUUUGAUUUGGUCAAUGUUAGGGGGGGAGGAUGGUUGGUUGGGGGUGGUUUCAUAAUCCAAUCUCCCCAGCAUUUUUCAUCAAGUUAUCAGCCAGUCGAGAUGCACAAAUUGCUCCCACUUGCUUGUAAGCAGCAAGGAGAAAGCCCUAAUGAACCAUAAUUUUUUUUUCUAUAAAUACAUAGCCAUGUUCUUCACUUCUCACACCAAAACUCCAUACAAAUUCCUCUUCUCAUAUCUCAUGUGAAUAGUGGUUGUUUUUGGGUUGCCACGACAAUGGGUGGAAAUGCAUUAAAAAAAAAAAUUGCUAGAGUGGGCACUAUUCACAUGAAUAGUAACUGACCUUGCCUCCUCUUGCCUUUUGUCAUGGCAAAUGAGUGAGAUUCGGAUCCUUUGUUAUGAUUUUCUCUACCAUGAUAUGCUUGACUUUUAUUCUCCACAUGACACCUCAUUUAUAUUUCAUCUAAGGGCUAAAACAAUCGCAACACAUAUUAAUUAAAUUAAAAAAAACUGGAAACAAAUUGAAUGCCAUUUUUUUCUCCUCUUCUUCUCCUUCUCCUAACUUCUAUGGGUCUUAUGCUUUAACGUUUAAUUAUACUGGAAAAAAAAAAUUUAUUUUGUUCUUAAAAGAUUUGGGCAGCAUAUGCGUGUGGAGUAAAAACAAAAUUGAUCAACCUUCUACUACAUAUGAGCAAAUGCCAUGCCUAACCCAAAAAAAUUUGAAAAAGAAAUAAGCAAUUAGCUAACCUCUUCUUUAGCUCCCAUAUUCUCAAAUCAUCAUUGUUUAAUGGUUAGCCAUUACACAAAAAGUUUAAAAUAGGGCUCAUGAUAAGCGUAUAUUAUAUAUAUAUAUUAUACCUCAUUCACCUAUUUAUUUGUUGUUAUCCUAAAUUUAAAUUGUUUGUUUAAUUUAUUUUGAGAGAUUUGUGAAGGAUUUCUGGAGUAGGAGAAAUUGAGCUGAAAUGGGGCAAGAAGAUGAAGAUUGAAGAUUGAAGAUUGAAGAUUAAUUGGAAAGAAUCCAAGUCAUUCCUUUCAUCAUAAGGAAUGUUGUCAAAUUUCCUAAUUCAAGAUGGUUCAAGUCUUACCAAGUCAAACAAGGAGAAAUCAAGAAGACCCUAGAUUAGUAGGAAUUCUAUUUUUAUAAUAAUUAUAAUUAUACCUUAGAUAUGUAGGAUUUUUAGGAGUGCUAUAUAUAGGAGGCUUUGGCCACUAUCACUAUUAGAGAGAAUGCUAGGCCAUAAAUUCCUACACACUCAUACUCAUAGCCCAAACACUUUAAGGACAAUACGAAGAGAGCUUGCGCAACCUUGGCGUUCAACUUGGAGAAUUCGGUGCCUUUCAUGUCUUCAUUAACCAUCAUGUUUCUCAAUAAGUCCUUUAUGAACUAAUUUCUUUUAUUAGGGCUACGAAAGCUAUGAAUACUCAAAUUUUUUUAUAUUAUUAAUUUUAUUUAUCUAUACAUAUUGAGGGCUUGUUACCUUUCUUAAUACUUUCAAUUAAUUGGCCACUAAUUACAUCAUUAGAAGAAUUAGGUUGAGACCGGAACGAGAUUCUUAAUAAAAAAAAAGCUUAUUGUAACAAGUACCAUAAAUUACAUAGCCACUAGGAAGAGUAGGUAUAUGAUUUAUGUAAUCAUUAGUGUUUUCCACAAAUCUUAAUGGGUUCUUAGCCAUUCAAAACCAUAACUAGAAAUAGAGUGGGUUGACGGUAAGGAACACAAAUAAUAUAAUUCAGAAGAGAGUAUUGGUGAGGUCAGGGAAAAUGAUUAUUAACAUGUUAGGUAAAUUAGGAUUAACAAGCUAGAAGGAUUUUGGCAGGAUUAGCUAGGUGAAAUCGGUGUCCUAGUUAUUUAUCAUAAUUGUUUUCAUCUUUUACAUUGUUUACUUGUUCUUAUUUUACUUUCUUAUUUAGAUUAUAAUCAUCAUAAUUUUCUUAUCGUUUAAUUCAAAUAUAAUUAGGAAUAAAUCACUCUAGUAUUUAAUAGAUUAACCUGAUCCUUGUUGGAACGAUAUUUUAUUUACCACUAUAUUAAUUUGAGUGAUAUUGUCCACUUGCUAUUAAUCACAUCAAAUUUUGACGCCACUGUCGGGGACCGACUUAGUCUGUUCAUAUUAAUGCAAUUUAUUUUCUAGUUGUACUUUGAAUAUUUAAUUAGUUUUUUUUUUUUAAAAAAAUUCAAGUACUUCUUUAUCUCAAAUUGAUUUCGUUAAAAAAAGAAAAAGAAAAAAAAAAGAAAAGGACAUGAAGACUUAACUUCAUACCAUGAACAAUAUCAAAAGAAACAAAAAGCAAAAAGGAAACAACGCAUGGAAAAGAAAGAAGAAAGAAGGUACAACAACUUAAUUUCUGAGCAUAUCGUGAAUGAUUGGUACCUGCUCUUCAAUUAGCCAACUAGUUAAAUUGGAACUUGAGAUUGAACAAAAGCUUCGAGCAAUUCGUAGGAGACAAUGAGAAGAUAGAAAAAAGAAGAAUCAACAAGGGGAGACCUUGAUAUCCCAACAAUGUGGAUGUCACCCUCAAGCAUCAUUCUCCCUGCAACUGCUAGGAAUUAUGAAUUAUUAUCCACUUUAAUAUGAUGCCUUCUUUACAUGGAUUAAGUUCUAAACAUCCUUUAGCUUAUAUUAGAGAUAUUUUAAACAUGGUUUCUAACAUGACUUUGAUAGAGGGAGUCAUUGAAGAACAUCUUAGGAUGAAAGUCUUUCCCUACACAUUGAAUGUGAGAAUCCAUAUUCUUAAAGGUUUUUUAAGAAGGUUAAAUAUUUUAUUUUUAAUUACUUUGAUAAGUAUUAAAUUAUAGUAAUUAUAUAUAAAUAAUAGUUAUUUUCUUAGUUCAUUUAGUUGACAUUCGUAUGGCACAUGUAUAUAUGUUUUAAUUGAUUACAUAUAUAGUUUUAUUUGAUUAGUUGUUAUAGUAGUACAUUGAGCUUUGUUGGAUAUUCUUAAUUUUUAGUUUAUUUAUAUAUAUAGUUGUUAUACUUUUAUAAAUGGAAUUUAUGUUUAUAAUAUUUAAUUGCUUUGUUAUUUUCUUUAUUAAAUUAUUUUUCUAAUGGGUGUAUUGAUAAAUUUUGGUUGGGUAAGUAAAUAAAAGAUAAAAUGAGUCUCUACUUUUUUAAAGAAGAUGGAAGUGUUAUUGAUACAUGUAUAUUUAUCUUCAUCCAAGUCAUUGUGUGUGAAUUGAAGUCUUCCAAUAGUUAAUAUAUAUUUUUUGCUGUCAAAACAUGUGCUGCCUACAUAUAAUUGUUGGUUAGAAUGUGUUUGAAUUAAGUGUGGACAGCAAGUAUGUUGGCGUGACAUUUUACUAAGUGUGGCGUCAUGUAAGCUGGAGGUGGCACAUUAGUUUUUCAUCCUAUUGACACCUCUACUUACAUACAAUUGUUUGAACAAAAGGUUUGAUAGAUAUUUAGGUUUUGCUUGGACAAUAAGUAUAUAUGUUAUUAUCUUUUAGUAGCCGUCAAUUACAUCAUCCAAUAAGAAUGAAGUAGUAGCCUACAUUCCUUUGGUAUAAAUAGGAGUGCAAUUGUUUCAUUUUGAAAAGCAUGGCGUGCAUGGGAAAACAAUAAGAGAGAAAGAAAGGGAGUGAAAUAGUAGAGAGAGAGUUUGAGUCUGAAUGCGGUGGAAAUUAGGGAGUCGUCUUACAAUUCUAGCAAAAGUUUUGAUGUCAAGGUAGGGGGUUUCUUGGGGGGCUUUUACAGGGAUUGAUUGAUUUAAAAUUUUUUAGCAUUGUUUUAUGUGUUGUAUACAGUUUAAUUGAUAUUCUUUGUUACUGGGUGUUAAAUUGUUGAUUAUUUGAUCAAUAUUUGUGUGGUUAUAUUUUAAUACAUGAGAUAAAUGAAAGGCAUAUUUAUAUCAUGUCAUGAAAAUUAUGGGGAGUUAUUGGGUUGAGGAACUAAUGAUGGAAAAGAGGGUAAUGAAAAUAGUCCUUUGUAUAGUUGAGUCUAACUCUUGGCAAGUGCCAGAUCUCAGAGAUCCCACAGUGCACAUAGUUUUUAUUGGGUGAUGCGGGACUGGUGACAAGGAGUUAGAUAAUAUGACUAACAAAAUGGGAAUUAUAUAUGGGAUGAUUUAGAUGGGGGUUAGUUCAUAUAAUAAGCAUUUAGGACCAAAUGGUAUAAGCAUGGUAUGAGACGUUCAAGUAUGCUUGUCUAGUUAUAUGAAUUAACAGGAGUAGAUGAAAAGCAUUCAUGCAUUAUUAUUAUUGAUGUGAUAAUUGACUGAGUGAUUGCAUGUCACUCAAUUUAGUUAUAUCAAUUUACCAUGAAAAUGUUUAUGUCCCUCCUAAGUUGUGGUUUAGCUCACCCCCUAACAAAUUUUGCAGGUAUGGAACCUUAAAUAUAGGAUUUGAGAUGAACUUGGCUUGUCUAUAGAGUGUUUCGUGUACAUAACAUGUGAUUGAAUAAUGAACUAUUCUUUUAGUGAAAUCUUGAGUAGUUUUAACUUGUAUAAUAUUGUAGUGGUGUAAGUUUUGAGUAAUGUUGUUACUUCUGCUAAAAGGUUCAAUGUGAAAUAUUCAUUUAUUUAUUUUAGUGUUAUUCACAUUUUAGUUCUAUUAUUAAGAUGUGAAUCACGUCUUAGUUCAAGUUUAUGUUAAUCCAUGGGUUAAGGCGUGAUAGUGAAAGACAAAGCAAAGACGUGGUUGAACUCCUUGAGGCCUGGAUUAUUGACUAGCUGGACGGAGAUUCAGAACAAGUUCUUGGAAAAGUUCUUUUCAACUCAGAAAAUUGAUGCACUAGGGAUAAAAUCAUGCAAUUCAUUCAAUAGGCAGAUGAGUCAUUUUCUGAGGCAUGGGAACGGUUCAAUAAUUUGUUAAACAAUGUCUUCACCAUGGUUUGCCUAUUCUAGUUCUCAUGCGUAUUUUUAAUAAGGCACUAAUCAUUUCAAAUAAGGCUGCAAUGAAAAAUUAUGCAGGUGGAUCUAUUAAGAACAAGACACCAAUUGAAUGCCAAACUUACUUUGAUAUUCUAACUAUCGAAACACAGCAUUCUGGUGCGAGAGGUAAGCAUGUCAGAGUUUUUGAAAUUGGUAAUUCUAAUGCUUUUGCUUCUAAAGAGCAGGUUGACACUAUUACCAUUAAAUUGGACGUCUUGCUUGCUAUGAAUGGGAGAGUUUCAAUACAAGAGAUUUCCUCCAUCUGUGAUGUUCCUUGUCACGCCACCAUAUCUUGUCUUCAUGGAGUUGAUUUUUCAAAAUUUUGCAAGAACAUGCAAACAUGGUGAAUACCUAUCGACGUCCCAUCAAUGAUCCUUUCUCCAACACGUAUAAUUCGGGAUGGCAAAGGCACCAUAAUUUGUCUUGGAGUAAUAAUUAGAAUGUACAAAGACCACCGUUGAGUUUUCAACUGCAAGAAAAAAAAGUAUUAUUGGAGGAUGUUCUUGCUCAGUUCAGAACUAAAACCGAUACCAUUUUGCAAAAUCAAUUUGCAUUCAUAUGAAAUCUUGAAGUACAAGUGGACCAAUUAGCCAAUAUAUUAUCGGGAACACGACAAGGCUCCUUGCCCAAUACCACCAAAACAUAUCCAAAGGAACAAGUGAAUGCAAUCACACUUAGAAGUGGAAAACCCAUCAAAAUAGUUGUGGACUUAGAUACUGAGGUGAAAAAAGUGCAAGUAUUAACUUAAUGCCUCUCUCUGUGUUCAUGAAAUUAGGUUCGGGAGAACCAAAAGCAACCACAGUUUCUUUGCAAUUGGUGGAUUGAUCGAUUAAAUAUCCAAUGGGUGUCGAAGAUGUUUUGGUCAAAGUUGACAAAUUAAUAUUUUCUAUUGAUUUCCUUAUCUUUGAUAUAGAGGAAGCACAUUCCAAGCACUAUUGCCACACCAACCCUCAUUUUAAAGGCAUACUUGAAAACAAAUUUCAAUCCACAAAAGGAGACCUUCGCUCUCCAUGAUCCUGGGUGAUCGUCUUCAAAAAUUCGAACUGCGGACUAUAAACUAAGCGCUUGUUGAGAAGCAACCCAACUAGGUACCUUCGUUCCUUAAUUUUCGUUUUUAUUUCUUUAUUUCCGUCCCUCUAUGCCUUUAAUACUCUUCACAUGCAUCUACUUUCAAAAUUGAGGACAAUGCUUCAUUUAGGUUUAGGGGUAUGGAAUUUUGUUGUUUUUGUUUUAAGUUUUGAGUCAAAAAGAAAAAAAAGAAAAAGAAAAACAGAUUUUGUGUUUCAAGGAACAUUUCUGGACUUUUUCUAGCCCAAAGAUAAUUGCAACAUGCUCCAUAUGUGUUACAAAAGUUGUUUUGGUCAUUAGAUGACUUUAAAGCCCAAGAAAUAGCAAAAGAGCUUAUUAUGUUCUUAUUUUGGUCAAAAUCAGAUUUUCUGCCUAUUUUUUUGUUGUUGAUGUUUUUUAGUUAAAUUUGAAGCCACCAACAUGUUUAGAAUAGUUAUUAUGAUGAUUUAACUCAGGUUUGGGGGUCUCAGGUGGUGUACAUGACGUUUUAAGAAGAUUUAAAGCUAAAAAAUGUGGCCUAAAAACUAUUUUUUUUAAAACCAGUUAUUGUUUGCCCAGAAAUUUGAAGAUUUUUUUUUGUCAUUAAAAGGUUUUAGCGACGAUUGUUCAUCAGAUUUCGUCACUAAAAGUCAAUUUUUUAGAUUUUUCGUAUUUCAUGUCGAAAUCAAUUCAAAUCCAUUCUAUUUGUGAUUUGAGAUUUUUAGGAGCUAUUAUAGGUAUGUCGUCUUCCUUUGAUAAACUUUCUUUAUUCUUAAGCAAUGGAGACUCAUAAAUUCAUGCAUAUUUGUUUGUAAAAUCACAAAAUUCCUUUAACUUUUGAAAAAUAAAACAUAAAAAUAAAAAUUUGCUAGAACUUUUACUUUCUCUUACUAAUGGUGAUUGUUAACGGGUGAUUUAGCACAGGCCUUAGAGGAUAUUGACAAUCUCACACAUUACACAGAUUUAGAGUGGUUCGCCCAUGAAUAGGGCUACGUCCACUGUAGAGCUUGGUGUUUAUGAUGUAUGAGUAUUAAAUUAUACAUAGAGAGGCUUGAGAGCCUGAAUAAAAUAGGAAGAAUGAGAGCUUGGGCGUCUCCGGAUAUGCCCAUGGGGAUGAGAAUUGGAGAGAGCCUUUCUAGAUAGGGAUCUUUUCUCUUAUAUAGGCAGAAGAUGAGGGCCACUUGCCAUUGUUUAAUGAGCAAGUGGAAUAAGCGUGGGUCAUCCUUAAAGGAGUAUGAGCUGGGCAUGUGGGGAAGGCAUGGGCCUGUUAGGACCAAUAGCUCAUCAGUUGGCAAUCGAGGGUAGUGGACUGGUGAAAUGUCAGGACGUACGUGGUAAUCUAUUGUCAAAGGCAUGCGUGGUGGCCAGCACAUAACGAAGGCAUUAGGAGUCAGUUAGUACAUGAUGGUCGGCUAGCACAUAUUGCUCAAGUAUGCCAUAUUGGUCGAGUUUGACAUUUUGGCUAGGCCAUAUAAGCUAGGCUAUAUUGAAAAGGGUAGCAUACCUCAGGUAGGAUAUUUCGGCUAGGCCAUCAGGUAUAGGCAAGACCAUUUGGUACAAACCAUUUAUGUAUAACAAUAAGCCCUCAAGUUCCUAAUUGAGAACGAGUUCUUGACUAGGAACUUUCAAGCUUAUCAUGUUGGUCGAGCCGAACAGCUUGUUGUAAGUCAUGUGCCUUUGCUGCAAAUGGUUGGCUGUCAAACAAGCUAUACAACUUUCGAUGGUGAGUUGAGUCAUGGAAAUCUUAGCCUUGGUAGAUCUCGAUGGUAAGCCAAGUUGUGUUGGUCUCGAUUGGCGAGCGUCUAUAGGUCUGAAACUACCUGGUUGAAUAGGCCUGAAAACUCUUGGUUAGGUCAAAGGCAAUAAUGAAUUGGGUGGUGCCUUAUGGUCUAUUAGCACAUAGUGAAUUGGGUGGUACCUUUUGGUUUGCCAGUACCUAGUGAACUUGAAAUAUGCUAGCCUAGAGAAGUCACUACGUGAAGCAUACCGACCCGAGCUAAGUAAGGCUUAACAAGGUAGCUAAGGGCACCUGGUACCGACCAGGUACCUAUAUCAACAAGCCCCCAAGUUCUUCAUUGAGAAUGAGUUCUUGCUGGGAACUUCCAAGUCAAUCAUGUUGGCUGAGCCGAAUAUCAUGUUGUGACUCAUGAAACCUUAAUACAAAUUGUUGGUGGUCAGGCAAAGCUAUACAACUUCCGAUGGAGAUUCGAGUCAUGGAGAGCCGAGUCUUGGUUAGUCUUGAUGGCGAGGCGAGCCUUAAUGGAGUUCACACAUGCGAUAUCACAUUUAUAACAUAAUGAAGAUGUAUGUAAUUAUCAUAUGAUGAGGAUGAAUGUAAUGAUAGUGUGAUGAUGAUGUAUGUUAUGUGGCACACUACAUACUAAUUUAUCAGGGAUUACCCUUUCUUCCAUCUCACUUUAAUCAUGGCAGGACUUUGUUGUCUCUCUCUAACUAUGAUGGGAGAGGUUGGAUGUGGUACUGAGGCGAGCCGACAUACACGGUGUCUCCCGAGCCCAAAGUUCUUAGUGGAGAACUAGUUCAACUGGGAACUUUAAGUAAAAUCAUUGUGGGUGAAGGCAAUCACCCUGUAUUUUGGAAGGGGGAAGCUUUUGUUGCUUGGAGAAUCAACCAUGCAAGGUGAUUAGAUCCACAUGUUACAUAGAGAUUGAGCACACAAAGCGCUCAAGUUAGCUAUAACGUAGAGACUGAGCAUACAAGGUGCUCAGGUCAACUACGACUUGAAGAUUGAGCAUGUGAGGUGCUCAGCUCGACAUGCAACGUACGGUCAAGCAUGUGAGGUGGUGUUUGACCCGUCAUGUGACUUGAGGAUUAAGCAUGCAAAGUGCUCAGGUCGACUAUGAUGCAGAGAUUGAGCAUGCAAGGUGCUCGGCUUGGCAUGCGAUUUACGGUCAAGUAUGCGAGGUGGAGUUCGACCCUUCAUGCGACUUGGAGAUUGAUCAUGCGACAUGCUAGGGUUGGUUAUGACAUGGAUUUAGCAUGCAAGGUGCUGUGGUCGGCUACGGCAUGGAUAUUAAGCAUGCGAGGUGCUCAGCUCAACAUGCGAUGUACAGUCAAGGAUGCGAGUUGGUGUUCACCUAUCAUGUGACUUAGAGAUUAAGCUUACAACAUGCUCGAGUUGGCUACAAUGUGUAGAUUUAGCAUGCAAGGUGCUCACUCGUCAUAUGACGUACGAUCAAGCAUGCAAGUGGUGUUUGACCCAUUAUGUGACUUGAAAAUUGGGUAUGCGACGUAUGGUCAAGCAUGCAAGGUGGUCAGCUCAGUUAUACUUGUAAGGUAGUCAUAUGUCUUAUUCAGUGACAAAUCCAUGAAUCUUGUCUCUUGGGGUCAUAGUGUAACACAAUAUAAUCAAGCCAUAUAUUCAAUUUCAAUUCAAAGGGGUAUACACAAUAGGCGGUGGACACGAAUGCGAACGGAUGCGACAGGCAGGAAAUGGGGGAAAGAAGAUGGGUUUAAGGGUUUGAAGUGAGAGGAGAGAUUGGGGGUUAAGGUUUGGAGGGUUUGGGAUUGGUUAGGUAUACUAUCGGGUAUUUUGUUUUGGUAGGAGGAUGGGGGGGAUACUGAUGGGUUUAUUUUUAAACACCUAGACCAAAACGAUGUCGUUUUGGCCAGGUUUUUUUUAAUUUAAUUUAAUUUAUUUAUUUAAAAUUCUUGGGCCAAAACGACGUCGUUUUACCAUAGAGUUAAUAUAUAUAUAUAUAUAUAUAUAUAUUACCAGCGCUUCUUCUUUUUCCUCGCGUCGAGCAUCACUCCUACUCUAAGGCAAAUGAUCGAGCAAUUUGAGGGCGUGACAUAGGGUAACACAAUCAGCUCAGGUAGACCUCCAAGCCUAUUUCCAUGGCUUCCAUAGCACUUCACAUAACCAUACUUCAAGUAUUUUGAUGGAUAAUAUUUGUGAGGUAAAAUACCUUUAGGCCAAGCUGGGCCAAAGCACGGUGUUAGUGGUCGAGCUGGGCCAGAGCACGGUGUUAGUAGUCGAGUUGGACUAGACCAUAGUGUUAGUGGUCGGGUUGGGCUUGUGGCUUGUGGGCUUAUGGACCCAUUGGUCCAUGAGCUCAGGCUCGGUGCAUACGUGGUGUUUUCACUCAAAGGACUUCUUGUCCUAAAUAAGUUGGGAUGUUUCGAGAUCACCAAAAAGCCUAUCUAAAUGGAGUCCUAGUCCAAAGAGGGAUAGGUUAUACUAGAGUCCUAGUUUGAGGAGAGCUAGUUUGCUAUGAAAUUCCACUUCUAGAAGGAUUAGGUCGUCUAGGAUGAUAUAAAAGGCUAAGGUCAUCCUCCGUAAAAGGUAUGCAAUUCGAAGCACUAGAACCGAUUGUGAAAUUUUACUCUCAAACACUCAACUGACUUAAGCAUCGGAGGGUCCUAGGCCGGCCCACACCAGUGUCACCCACUGAAGCUAUCUUGUGUUACAAGUUCUGGAGGAUGACUUAGUUAGUCACGUUAACCUAGUUCGGUAGAAUUGCCCAACCUCGAUCUCGAAGGGGUCAUCUUCUGUUGAACCAAUUUUAGGUAUCAACAGUUUGACGCUCUCUGUGGCAAUCAACUUCUUGAUUUUCAUCUAAAUUUUUAGACAACAACCACUUACUUGACAUCAUGAGUCAAAAGUCCGGCCACAACAAACUUGUCACCCCUACUACACCUAAGAAUGAGAGAAAUAAAUCUAAUCACCUAUCUAACAUCAAGACCUACUUGAAAGAGAUGAGGAAAGACAUUAACGAACUUUGUGAUCAGAACAAGGUGGUCGAAGAAGAAGCCGAUGAGACCCAUACAGGAAGACAACGAAGGCUAGAAGACUGGUGUUAAGAACAUGGAGAUUGUCAAUGCGACAGACCCCAACGCCGAGGCAAACUUCAACGUGAGGGACAUGAGGAAAGGAAAAGAUAAAUCUUGAAUAAUGGCUUGAUAUAUCAUGUCACAUACUUAUCUAAUAUUGCUAAUUCAUGCAUAAUGCCAAUAUACAUUUAUUAACAAAGUAUGCUCUGCUUGCCCAAAAAAUAUAUUGUACCAAUCAUUUCAAUGAUAAACUAUUUUCCUGUAUGAACAUGUUUAUCAAAGUUAUUGUUACUGUAUUAAGGUUGAAGGAUAUUCCAAGCGACAAUGAGGACGAAGAACAAGUCUAUUGAGGUUGGAGCAUCUCAUGAAGGUUUCUGGCUGCGGAAGACCACACUUGCAAAGCCUAUGAAAAGUAAGUUUUCAGUGGCUACCUCAAGCUCGAAAAAACAGAAGCCAACAAAACGAAUCUCAGGUCCUAUGGGUACUAGGGUGUUCGGGGUACGUGUGUUCAUAUUGAGGGACCGAAAUCCUUGUUCACCCUUGCUUCACGUGGAUUUGGAGGAACAUAUCUCCUUCAAGGUAUUCUUAUUUUAUUUUACAAUUCGCAUUUCUCACUUUGGAAUAAUUUGUAAUUAAGUGAGUCACAAUCAAAUUGAGAUUACUAAACCCUUUAUGUUUUAUGCAGCUUACUUUAAAAUAAAUAAAAGAGUGUGGAAACAAUGACAAGUGUGCUACAUGGUAUAACAUAGCUAUGCACGACACUUUGAAAGUGAAGGUCAAACAAGUUGGCUUUUUGCCAUUUUUGUCAAUAUUGGGCCAUGAAAAGAAAAGGGGCUUUAGCUAAGAGAUGGUGGGACACUACCCACAUAUUCCACUUCGAUGAAGUUGGAGAGAUGACGAUGACCCCCAUGAACUUCGCAGCAAUCAUAAGAUUGCAUGUUGGUGGGAGGCGAUUAAAGUAUGACUUGGAGAUUUACAAAAAUAAGAACAAGCUAGUUCAAUUGUUUGAGAAACCAAUUGCAGACCUAAUGCAGGCAAAAUGAGAGUGCCGUAUGAAAGCGUUUCCACCCCGUACUGGAAGAAGAAUCCGAAAGAUGAUAAAGAAGCAUACUAAAUUGCAAAAGUAUUUAUACUGUACUUGAUUGGCUCCUCAUUCCUAAAUGAUAAGAGCCAAUACGUGAGUAUGCACUGCACCCUCAGUCUGGAAAUAGUCUCAGACAUUGGUAAUUACAACUAGGGUGGUGCGACUUUGGCUUGCUUGUAUAAAUCAAUGGAUUCUUGUUCUAGGGGCAAGUCCUCAAGCAUGUGCGGGUAUUGGAGGUCAUGGGAGGUUAAUGUAAUCGAAUUGAAUGUCCCCAAAGUGCAACAUACUUUUUUGCUUAAAUUGCUAAUUUGUAUACUUGUUUUGUGUAGGUAUGGGCUUGCGAGUACCUAAAGCCGUUUGCUUUAUCAAGACUCAGUGGGACUGUGAACACAUGGCCUCGAACAUUGAGGUAAGUAGGUGUAAAAGCAAAGUGAGACUUACACCAUCAAUUGGUACAUUUUAGAGUGAUGAUGCGACAUCUAACAAAUGAUCAGGUAUAAAGUCUUGACUCUUGAACCGAGAUUUUAUUACCGAAAAAAUGUAUCAUACACAAAGGUAACCAAUUUGUAUUGUAGGUAAAUUGGAACCAAUGGGGAACCAAUGUAUCCGAGAUGCCAGAAGAAGUCAAAAAUACCAUGACGGUAACUUGUAAACGAAUCCUACUUGAGGGACCAGCUAGUUCAGCCUGGUUUUUAGGAGAGCAAGUUGCAAUGCAAAGUUUAGGCAUCACAGAACCUCGAGUACCCAAAAUUCCGCCGAGGACAAUGCUUUCCGAUUAUAAGCUCACUGAUGAGUCAGAAGUCGAGGAAGCACUUAAUGGGUACCCAGCUUUAGAAUGGCUUGCAAAUUCAUCCGACUAUGCCCUGUACAGAGAUGAGUACAUAAGGUACCACUGCUAUGAGGACUUACGUGAAGCGGCACGUUCUACGCUAAACACGUGUUAUGUACUUACACUUCCUGCAUUAAAUUGAUAUAAUUUUUCAAAAACCUAAUAUGCUACCUUAAUUCCUCAUGAAGGACAACAUAGAACUCCCAAAGGUGCCAAUAUAAGGGUAGGAAACGUCUCUCCUCAACCAUGGUCAGUGCGAAUACCAUGCUGGGCUGCCGAAAAUGGAAGAAAACUUGUGAAGAUAUCCUGUGGAUAAAAUAGCCCUGAUUCUACCAUUACCUGAUGGUGUAACGCAUGUAAGUAGUUUUCAUUGCAUAAGUUAUUCAUAAUUGAUGGCUUAUUGUAGUGAUUGUUGUAAUUGCAUGUGCCUGAAUAUAGAUAACUGCUGAAGUUGCAACCAAGAUUUUGAAGCUUAAUGAUGGGUUGAAUGCCCUACUAUUUUCAACUUCAUUGGAAGCAAACACAGAGAUCAGGCACCUACGACAAGAGCUUGUGAGUCAGUUCAGCUUCAUUUCAUAGUGAUUUCAUUAAGUUAACAAAUAUCACCGAUGUUAUAUUGAAAUAACAUACUAAGAAUAAACAUGAACGAUGUUAUAUUGUAAUAUGAGAUAUUGAAGAACACAACGGGGGCAACCAUUGCAAGUUCGGGUAUUCGUCAAGAUGACUUAGCUGAUGAUGCAGACCACUCCAUUGCCCCAUUCGAUUUAUAAGAUGUUUAAUUUUGCAAUUUUAAAUAAUAUGUUACACUCUGUAAUGCAAACCAUCAUCACUUGUGUGCACAACAAAAUUGAACAAAAUUGAUUAUUUAUAUAUGUCAAUGUUUUCCUGUAUGUAGGAGUUUCGCACAAAAUUUAAACAUGACAUAGUUAGAAAAGGAAAGACCAAAAUUGUGACACCAAAAAAGCAUGAAGAAGAUAAGGAAUAGGAAGAAUAAGAUGAAGUAGACGAAGAACGGGAAGAGGAAGAUGAAGAAAAAAAGGAAGUAGAAGAAGAAGAUGAAGAGGAGAAUGAAGACGAAGCUUGGAUCGAAGAGAAAGAGGUUGGGGUUAAGGAUGAGGAUGGGGCUGCAGCUAAGGGUAAUCCGGAUGAAGAACAACACUCCACAAACCAAAAACACACAGUCACUCCUGCAUUGCAUCACCGUCAUGCAAUUACACGUUUGCAAUGCAUUUGCCGACCGGCUGUGAGCAAACUAAACAUAACUUAAAAACGCAGAUCUAAUUAAUGUAUAAUGCAAAGACAAAGAAAAGCAAGUAAAUACUUUAUUAUGACCAUAUGUCUAUUAUUCAAUAUUAUGGUUAAUCACAUUUUUUUAUAUACAAAAUUCGGAAUCUUUUAGAAUGUGAUUUGCACUACAUGACAAUUUCUAUCACUAGGUAAUUUCAAAAAUUGAUCGUUUUGUAAUAUAAUAUGUUCAAAUUAUUGCCCCUUAUGGCUUUCAUGUAAGAUUGAAAUCCCUCAUCUCAGCAAGUUGAUUUGAGCCCCUCAAACUCAUCAGAAGACUUGAAUUCUGUGAUCAUCUUAUCCUUGGUUGAUCUCAGCUCUGCCACCUCACCAAUAAGCUUGGCCACUUGCUCUUAGAUGACACCAAGAUCUUUGGCAUGCUUCUUGGCCAUGCUCUUCAACUCGGACUUAGCAUCACUGACUUUCUUCAUUUCGAGGUCAACCACUAACCUUAGCUUGGCUGUUAGAAGGUCACUAUCUUCAUUUUUCUUCCUUAGUUCCUUGAUCUCAUAGCUCCGUUUUUGGAGAAGGCCAUGGGUCUCGAGCUAAGCAUGAUAUUGGAGGCAAGUAGCCUAAAAAUAAAAAUAUAUAAGAAAAAUGAGAAAGAGUGAGGGAUGUGAAUAUUAAUUCAAGAAAAGCCAUAUGAGAACAAGCAUUACCUCUAGCGUGGCUUGCAAAGUCAUAUUUAUCUUUCCAUUAUGGGACUUCCCCUCAAAUCCUUCAAGCUUAGAAUUGCAAAUGCUAAGCUGACAUGUCCUAAAGAAUAAGGUGAAGGCCGAGUGGAUCCUCAGGCCUGAAAAGUUAGCCUGGUGUUGGUUUAUGUCACCAUUAUUUACCCUUCGCUUCUUGGGACCAAGUUCCACUGCCGACGUGUCCAUAUCUCUGUCUUUCUCCGUGGAACCAUCCCCAUUGAGCACAAUGGUUGGUUGUAAAGAAGGUGUGCUAGGAGGGAUGACUCGAAGGGGAUCGGGAUCACCAUCCAUGGGAAUUGUAGGUUGGCCAACCUUGCCUCCACCACCGUCCUUUCUUUGCUCUGCCUUUCUUUGUUCCUCAAGAGCUCUCCUCAAGGACUCUGCGAGCCUAGAGCCCAGAUUUCUUGCCCUCUUCUUUGGUGAAUACUUCCUACAACAUACACCAGGUUUUGACUAUCAAAUUAAAUUACAAUAGGGAAAGUGCAUACGAAAAACCUUACCUUGGUAAGGAGGAUGCGAGCUCGAACUUUACAAGUAUGGAAGGAGUGGUCAACCUCUUGCCCAACCUCCCGAUGCUGCUAUUCUCAGCUUGGACUCUCAUAAUUUGCUCCAACUUCUGACCCCGAAUGGAAGAUAUAGCUCACAUAUCUGCAAAACCUCAUAUACACCGUGUAUGAGACCGUCAACCAAUCAUACAAAGGUGCACUGAUUAAAAACAUGUUGACCUACAUGACAUGCAAGUACCCACUUGCUCGACAGAAGCACGUCUGUACUCGAGCACCAGAGCCCACAUCAUCCUCUUUAAACUCCCAAUUUUUGGAAGCAAAGAAUUACUUGUUUUUCCAAGCUUUCUUUAAAGGAUUAAUUGUUAUCAAGGCACCUCCUAUAUUCAUGAAAGCACAUACAUAUCAUCACCCUGUGCUACCUGGAUACUUUUUCAGAUAAUAUUGGUUGGCAAACUGAGCAAAGGAAGGCUCACCAAGCCCUAGUUACUUUCAUAACACAUACAUGCUCAACCAUACUAUAUAGACAUUCGGGUUGAUCUGCGUGGGAGCCAACCCUAAGAUUCUAAGGAAUUUAUGGACAUCGGGUGGAGGGGCAACCUAAACCUACACUCAAAGAACCCUGGAUGUAUGAAGAUCGAGUCAUUUGCCUUCUCUUCCUUCCUUGGCAACCUCUACUCUAUUGUGUCUGGGAUCCCAUACUCUAACCUCAACUUCUCAAGCUCACCCUCAGUCAUCUCAUUUUUUACCUUAUCAAUGCUAUAUUUGACCUAUUCUCUGUGCUACCGCCUCGUCUUCCAUAUCUACCUCGUCAUCAACAAGACCGCCCACUCCUACUAGUUUGACCUCUCCAUCCUCAUCACCCUCUUCGCUCUCCUCUCUUGGAUCCCAUUCUAUUUUCCAAUCCUCCAUCCUAAAUCGUGAACUACCCAACUCAGACAUCUACGUGGCACGUCGCAUACACUAGGUCGUGUUAUAGAAUGGGGACUUACCCAACUCAAAUGGCGAGGUUUAUUUCUUUUAGAUUCUGACCCCGUCGAUAAAUCGCGAUGAGCUCUCCUACCCCUUGCUUGUGUCUACCUGCACCAAUAAACCUAUCAUUCAGUCAUGAUGAAAAUGAUAUUGACAGGACCCGACCCAAUUUCCGCUUUGGAAUUCGAGCCAAGCCCUGUGCGUGUCCGACACCUGGCAAUUGUCGGGCACAAUGACCUCAUUACCCUUCCUGGAGAUAAAUAUGGUUAAACUUUCUCUGGACUUCUGCUUUAAUUUCGGCAGAGACUCCUCUGUAAUUUGACUAAACCCAAAUUUUCCACCUGUCAAACAAACUGAUAAAUCCACACCAACUGCCAGAAUAGGGUAACUAAAUAUUCACCAGUUCUGGUUAUCUAAUCCAACCAGAUAUCAGAGCAGUUACUAAUUGUUUACAAGAAUUUAAGUAGGUUACAAGAAAUCCUACAGCUUGGAAGUAGCGUGGGAGCUAGGAGAAGGCCUGGUGGUGGAUUCCUGCACACUCGACUGCCUGGGGGGCGCAAAACAUUUCAAAGUGUGAGUGGACCAAAAUAAAGUUCUAGAAAACAGUAUAUGAACAUAAUAACCCCCACUGUAAAAAUAAUGAUAAUCAUACGACUGAAUAUUUAAACUGCACUUGAAUUAUGAUAAGUCCAAAGCAUUUAGGUAAACAUAUAUAUAUCGUUACUGCUCGAUAUUAAGAAACUCAAGUAAAAUCACUGAAAUCAAUAUUUGCAUAAUUGCACUGACAUUCCUCUAAACUGAAUAUGUAAACUGCACUGCACUGAAUUAGGGUAAAUUCAAGCAUUCACAUAAUAUAUACAUCUAUAUAUAUAUAUAUAUAUCCAGAUGUAGGAUAUGCUCAAUACUAAGGAAAUAUUGAGUAAAAUCACUGAAAUCAAUAUUUGCAUAAAAGCACUGAAAUUUCUUUAAAACUACCACCUAGGUGUACCCCUGUAAAACUGUCAAAUCCUCUGUAAAUCUGUCAAUUCCCCUGGCAGGUCUCGGCGACACAUAGUGUAUCCGAGCCGCAAACUGGCAGGAUUCAGGAGACCGUAGUCAGCCUGAUCCGCAAUCCUGGCACUCACGGUCCGGGCGUCCCCAAAACUCGUGAGGCAAAUGUCAAGUGCACUGACGUAACUGAAAGUAAACUGGAUGUCUGUAGACAUCAUCAUAUCCGAAGGCAACAUAAACCGAAGGCAAUCUGGAUGUCCGUAGACAUCGUCUUAUUUGACGGCAACCUAUUUCUGUAACCGGGUAUCCACAGUGGUUUAAGAAAAUAUUAACUGCUGAGAAAAUAUGAAAUAUAAUUAUCAUAAUAUUUCUGAACGAUCUAAUGAAUAACUGAAUCUUUAUUCAAUCUAUAACUGUGCUGCCCUUUUUAUCUGAUAGAAAACUCAAACUCUGCUUUCUAUAAUUAAUGGUGGUCUAAAAUAAUUAUCUUGGAUAAAAUCUGAUAUCCUCUGUAUUCUGAUAAAAUCUGAGCUAGAUAUUUCUGAAUCAUAAAUCUCAAAGUCUGCUGUCCAAAUAACUUUAGCAAAAUCAGCUAAGCAAUGUAUAGAAGGAAUCUUUAAAUUCAUAGGAAUAAAUCACACUGAAUAAAACUGAUUCAGAAAAUUAUUUAAAAAAAGAAAGGUCCACUCACUGCUGGUCCGAGCUAGCUGGACCUCUUGAAGGUCCCUCCUGUGGUUCAGUUUGGCCUCUGAUGCCUGUUUAACCAUGAAUAUUCAAUUACUAAACUGCUCAAUAAAAACAUUAAAUUAAAUACCCUGACCCCCGGCUCCUAGAAAUACGUGCUCUCAUUGUAAAGUCAACUCUAUGUCCAGAAUGGCCUUAAAAGACCGGAAACCUUACAAAGCGAUAAACUGUUAGACCGGCCGAUCCCGAACCCCGUGGGUUCCACGAUCUCCGAUGGCCGAUCUGGGAUUCUCUAGAGGUUCCUCACUGUGUAAAACCCAUGUCCUGCGAGUUUGGUCCGAAAUGGACGGUCGGAUUGGCCAAAAUCGCGCUAUCGCUUAAAAUCCUAACCCUAGCCCCAGGGUUCGCGAUUCCGGAGUAUCCGGGACUCCGAUUUGCAAUCCGUCGAAUCCUACGCUAUCCUGAAACAAUGUAGAACAACAUAUCAGAAAUGGGGUGCGAUCCAACGGCUAGACGACACUGUACCCGGGAAUCGUAUAUGAUGGAAAAUUCGUUCGGGGCUCAAACGGACUCCGAAUUGAGAUCCGCAAAAUCCUACAUGCUCGUAACAACUAGGAGAUCAUUUUAGGACAAAAAUGUAAUCCACUAUGCUGCCCACACGCCGCCACAAGCGCCGGCAGCGAGUGGGUGUCUAGAGUAAACUCCGGCGGCCGGAUAAACUCCAAAUUGCUUGCCAAGAUUCCUACCCUAGGUCCAGGACAUCAAUUAGAGUCACUUUUGUUCUUGGACCAAGACCAAAAACUAAUCGGAACCAGCCGGAACAAAGCUGAAACCGUCGGCAUAAUAUGGGUAAAACUUCAAAAUCGAUCUCUAAUACCUACAUAAAUGGAUAGAGUACCAAGAGUAGACGAAGUUUCAUACCUGGCUCGACGGAUUUCGUGCCGGAGUCGCCAGCAAAUGGAAAAAUAUAGCCGAAAAAGCCUCACCAUUUCUUAGCUUCGAUUCGAGCUCAUCAGUAGCCAAUUGGAUCGGGUCUUGGGUGGGUUUUAUAGAGGAGGACGAGAUGAACAUUUUUCGUGAAGGUAGCGUGGCCAUCCAGUGAACGACGAUGUCAAUUUUGUGGUUUGGAAGUUGAACAGUCACUGUUGCUACAGUGACUGUCGAAAAACAAAAAGAAGAAGAAUGGCUGAAGCUGCUCGAACCGGAAGAAGGAGAGAAAAAUAAAAAGGGUUCGGGUACUGUAGGGAUACUGUAGCAAUAAGAAAUUUAAAAUUCCUUUUACGUCCUUUUCGCUUUUAGACCUUUUCUCGUUAGUUAUAAUUCGAAAUUGGGCGUGCCACGUGUCUACGAACUCGUAUCGUCGAGCUCUACGCAACGGCGUAGGUGGAAUUGCCAAAUUCCUUCUCGGUCAAAAAGUCAACUUUUCUCCCUCUAAAGAGGUGAGGACAAAGUCGUCUUUCCGCUAGAAUAAAUUAAUACUAAUUUUAGGAUAUUUUGUUU